CUUUUUUUUUUUUUUUUUUUUUUUUUUAAGGUAGGAGGAAAGAACAUGAUAAGAAUGUGGCCAUCAUCGAAGGUGGGCAGUGGACAUGUUUCAUGUUUGAAUGUUGAAUUCUUUUGUAGUAGUUGGUUGUGUUUUAUAUGCAUGUUUUAGUGUCAUUCAUUCCUUUCUAGAGUUUCUAAUUGAAUUUUCGGCUUUUUCUUCUUUGCCAUUUUCUUCCAUCCUUCGACUGUCUUGUCCCAAUAAUUUUUUUGGAAGUGAGUACGGUGGAAGAGGGAGAGAGGCAAAGUAAACAACGUGUAAUGAAUGUGUAUAAUUUGCUUUUGAUUUUCCUUGUGGACCUAGUUAGAAAUACUCCUAAUUCGAGAACUCUAAUUAGGACUUUUGUUCAAAAAUUUUUGUAAAAUUGAUAGUAAAUCGCUUCCCUUCCCCUCCCCCCACCCCUUUUCAUAUUCAAUUGUGUGUGGAAUAAGAUUCGAAUCUUGAACUUGACAGUAAAAAAAAAAUUCUAAAAACUCUCCCUAAUCACUUGACUGAUAAUUUGUAUAUCUGGAAUCUGAAGUUGGUAAACUUCUUUUUUUUUUUUCUCUCUCUCUCUCUCUCCCCCUCCCUCUCUCCUUAACAAAGUUUAUGCAGUGUAAAGAGGCCAAACCCAGACCUAAAAGGCCAGGAUGGUCAAUGGGCUAUGAGAUGCUCGUGUACUGGACUGGAUGAAUAAGAUUUAUGGUUCACCUGACACGGCUUGGGCUUGUAUAUCAGUGGAUUGAUUAUGCCGCCCAUUGCUUCCUCAUUAAUUUUGUUCCAUUCAAAUUGUAUCGUGAAAUACUGUUUGUAACAUAAAUGACUCGUUUUAAUUGGCAGUGGAUAUUAAUUAGGUAUUGGACUCUCAAUUAUAGGAGAAUAUCUUAAAUACUCUUCUUCUUACAUGAGCAAAAAAUGAAUAGGACUAACGCAAGUUUUAAUUGCUUUUUAGCAUAUUCCACUGCAUUGGCUAUAUGUUCCUCAAACCAUCGAUCACAAAUGCUAAAAAUUCCAACAUUAACACAUCAACUUCGCCCUUAAGCAAUGCUCAUGGAAUAGUCCUUAGAUUAGACAUUUAGACAACCUGCAUAAUUAAACAUUGGUCUUAUUACUUUUUUUUUUCCCUAACAAGAAAGAGGUGAAAUUGAAGAAAUAGGGAGAGAAAAAGGGAAUUUGAAUCCAAAAAUGAAUCUUCGGUAGCUCUCAUAAUUCACCGAAAGUUGAUACACGUUUACUAGUGUGAAUAACAAAUGAGGCAAAACAUAAGAUGUAAAAUUUAAAAAGCGUGCACUAUUGCAUUCUUUUAAUUUAAGUGAGGGAACUAUUCCCUCUAGCUCCCGACAUAGUUGAGUUCUCUCCUAAGUAGGCUGGAGUAAUAAUAGUGAAAGAGUUGAUGAUUUAAAAAAAAAAAAAGAGAAUAACAAACUAAUGGAAUAAUAUUCUUGUAUAUUUACUUGUUUUAUUUAUUGAAAAAAUGUUAAGUAUCAGUGUGUCACACAAAACAUAAACAUAAGAUGGAACUCCAUUUUCCACCUUUUUUUUUUGUUUUGUAAAUUCAGUUUUACUUGGAAUUUGUGAGUUGUGACUCUGAGUGGAAUGGUUGUCCUCGAUUUUCUAAGUUUGUGAGGAGGAUAUUCUUUUAACUUUUCCUAUAUUUACAAAAGAGUUGACUAUUCAAGUUAGAAACCUUUCUUUACCUCUUUUUUCUGCUCUUUCCUCAAAGUACUGAAGAACAUGAAUUCUUGUGGUCUACUGAGAAUUAAGGUUUGCAGAGGCAUCAACCUCGCUGUUCGUGACACUGUUAGCCAUAGCAGUGACCCUUAUGUCGUCGUCAGCCAUGCUGGCCAGGCCUGUCGUCUUCUCAUUACUUUUUCUACUGGCAAUUCUUUUUUUUUUUGGCUCUGUAAUCAUAUCAUGUAUUGCUUGUAUCUUAUAUGAUUCAUAUGGUCUUUUAAUUUGUGGGUUUUUUCUGUGAUUAUUCAAAUCAUAUUGGGUUUUCUUUUUUGUUUCCAAAGAUUGCAAUUUUGGUGUUAAUCUCGUCGAAAUCGGCAUCUGUUGCAAGCUGAAGUUGUAGAAUUAGAAGGCCAUGUUAAUUAGAAUUAACCAACCAGAUUGAUUUUCUAAUUAAAAUAUUAGUUGAAGAAGAAUAGGAAAAACAUAAAGAAAUUAGGUCUGAAUACGAAGAUACAUAGAAAUUUCAAGAUUUUUUUUAAAUUUUUUGAAACUGAAUAUAAGAUUGAUGCUGGAGAGGAUACCUGCAACUGAGGAAAAGGAUCAGGCAAGAAUGAGAAGCAUGGCUGAAUAAGGGGGAUUGUGAACUGAGCUAGUGGCGUUUAUGCCAGAAAGUUAAGUAUACCAUUUCAUGGUGGAAGUGCUGUUUGGCCUAUUUGUAGUUAGGCUAUCAUGGUUUUGUCAGCUAAAUGCUCAAAAAUGCUGAUUGAAUUUCAAGAUACUGAAACUGAAAGUUCAAUUUCAAUGUUUCUUUUCGUUCUUGCAUUAUACUUUCUGCUUAAUUUGUUUCUUUCUUAUUUAAUAGAGCAAACUUUUGGUUGUUCAUAACAUUCUCAAAUAUGGCAUUGCAAAUGCUUUGCUUUGUUAUUUGAUAAGCUUCCCAUUUCUGGACAGCUAAAAACGUAAUUGGUUGAUUACAAAUGGAGAGAUGCAUGCUGUGUUCACUUAGUUUUAGCACUGCUAGUACCGAAUUGACUUGGCAAGUGAACUCGCUGCAUAGAGAUGGCGUUUCAAUUUUCCUUCACCGUUCACCACCAACAAAAUAAUGACCAGCCAUUUUAGGAAUUUGUAGAUGUUGGAUAGUCUUAAUGAACGUGGUUACAAUGUGCUUAUUCUGCUGAAUAAUUUGUUGAUUGAGGAAUUUGAUCUGUUAUCCCCCUGAUGGCUGCAAGACAAGUUUAGUAGUGAUUACUGAAUUUUCUUCAAUCAUGUAGAUCGUAGGAUCGUGUACUGCUUCUCAUGAUGUAAGGUUUACUGCAGACUGUGAAGACAAGUGUGGUGAAUAAAAACUGCUCCCCUGUUUGGAAUGAAAGUCUGACUCUUAGUUUGAAGGAUCCUAAUGUCCCAUUUGUUCUGGUAAGUCACAUUUUCUUUUCCUUUCUUAUUGAGUGUCUGCAAUGAACAUCCGUGACUUGAAUGGAUCUAGGUCGGCAGUCUUGCCAAACUGAUAGUAUAAAGCAAUGAGUUCAAGUUUAUGUUCUCUAUGCAUUUUGCUUAAUCAAAAGUGUGUGUUCCUUUGUAUAUCUGUCUUGCCUUCUGGAGGACCAAAAUAUGGUGAUCAUCAUGUAUGACUUCCACUGAUUAACAAUGGAUUUUGUAUCUUUCAGAGAGUAUUUGAUAAAGACACGUUUACGGGAGAUGAUCCAAUGGGAGAUGCAGAAUUCAACGUGAAACCAUUUCUCGAGUGCUUGAAAAUGGGUUUGCAAGACCUCCCAGAUGGGACUAAAGUUGACAGAGUUCAACCAAGCCACGACAAUUGCCUUGCAGAUGAGAGCUGCAUUGUUUGGAACCAGGGUAAAAUGUUCCAAAAGAUGAUACUUAGGUUGAGAAACGUGGAAUGUGGUGAAGUAGAAACACAUCUUGAAUGGCUUGAUUAUCCUGGAUUUAGAGGCUAAAAGCAAGACUGAUUCCCUCGCUGUUGUGUACUUGUGAUUCGAGGGCUGAUGAUGAAGGCAUACAAUCUAAGUUCUUGCUGUAUAUUUAUGGCUGUUCCUCAUGUAAUGUUUGAGAGCUAAGGUAUGACCCUCACAGGAAACUAUCUCGGCCUCUUGUAUGGCUAUUGUUCAGGUUACUGCUUUGCUGGUGUAGCUAUAACAAAUAUAACCUUUUCUGUUUCUUUACCUGGGAGGGGGAUUGAAGAAAGCAGAAAAGGAUAACGCGAAUAAGAGAAUAUUGAAUCCUUGCUUUAAGACGAUCGAGAUGAAUAAGGCCCUUAACUAUUCUAACUGAAUAUAACGUAUUUCUCAGCAAGAAAUUUGAGAAUUUUUUUUUUUGAAAAAGUUUACAAUCAAGAACUGAAUUCGCCCUGGCUGAUGUUAUUUUCUCUUUCGACAAUUAACAGCAGAAAUUGAUUAGAUGCCAUUUUUCUCUUUCAUCAUUUACCCCUGAUUUCCUUUCUCUUUAGUUGUGAUAUUAUUUGCUUGACAUUGACGAGAAUUGUUUUUUUUUUUUUAAUCUUAUUCUGAGCUUGAUCAAAUUGAAGGGGAAAAAAAAUUAAUCUGGUGUUAUUCCCAUGUUCUCCUCGUCAAGCAUAAGGAACUUGGCAUAUUCUUGAACAACCUUCACGACCUUUUUUUAGUCAAUCAGUUAUAAGAUCUUGUAUCUCUAAACUUCAUUUGGAUAAAUUACUUCAGAAAAGCUACACAAAAACUGUUCUUGAUUUAGAAUAUCUCAGAGACUUUUUUUCUCUGAUAAAUAAAAUAUCUCGAAGACCUGAAUAAUCUAAUUUUCAUUUAGAUACUUGAAAUUCUUGGGACCAACAGAUAUGUUCACUGAUUCUAGUUAUAUAUAGAUCUCAUUUUCAAAUCCCAGGAAAUGAUGCUCAGGAAUCCAGUCCUCGAUCCGAAUUUCUAAUUUGACUCGGCAUUCCGGUUAAUCCCCACAGAAAAGGAACCCCCCCCCCCUUCUCCCAAAAAAAAAAAUUAAUGCAGAUCACUAUAUUUUGGUUGUUUUACGUAAUAUUAAUUCUUCAGAUGCAAAGAUAGAACACUUUUUUUUUUUUUUUUUUUGCCUUUUGCAGUUUUUGGAACCCCAAUUGGAUUAUUAGGUGUCGUGGAAUAUACCAUUUUUCUGUUCGAUAGAAGUAUCAAUCGCUGAAGAAGAUAUGCAUAGAUAAAACAAGAAAAAAAAUCUCAGGGCAUUUGGAAGUUUGUUCUCAGAUAUUUCAUCCUUUGCAGGAGAUACAUAUGCAAACUGUAAGGUUAUGGUUUAUUCACCAAUAAACCUUAUCUUCCUAACUUUCAACCCUUGUCCGAAUAUCAUCACCAUUACACACUUUGAAAAUAAACUAAGGGCGCCAAGUUUGAAGCAAAUAAUAACAAUGGCUUCAACACAAUCACAAUCCCUACAAGGUCUAAUUUCCAAAACAAACUUUCCAUCACUUCCAAUAAAUAAACCAAUAUUGCACAAUACAAAUUUCAAGAUUUCAUUCCCAUUUCCCUCUAGAAAAUCUUUACCACGCGUCGAAUCUUCCAGCACUGUAAAGUACAAUGAAGUUGUGGUGGAUGAAGAAAUGGAUAAAAUUAGAAGACUGCAAAAUGGCUCGGAUGUUCGUGGGGUGGCUCUAGAAGGCGAAAAGGGGAGGACGGUCGACCUAACGCCUCCCGCCGUGGAGGCGAUCGCAGAGAGUUUUGGUGAAUGGGUUGUGGAGAGAUUGGAGAAGGAGAAAACAAAUGGAAGUGUGGAAAAUGUUAGGGUGUCACUUGGACGUGACCCUAGAAUUUCAGGUGCAUCCUUAAGUGCUGCUGUUUUUGCUGGUCUUGCUCGUGCUGGUUGUCUGGCUUUUGAUAUGGGGCUUGCAACUACACCGGCUUGCUUCAUGAGUACAUUGUUGCCUCCAUUUAUGUAUGAUGCUUCCAUAAUGGUAUUGAAAAACAGCUCCAUGUUUUUGAGCUUGUUAUGCAUACAUAUAAAAAUGGUAUAGACUGAUUUCUUCAAUGAUUUUGCACUAAAACUAUUGUUAAACAUAGAUAUCAAGUCUUGAAGCUUUUAAGGAAAAUAAUAAAAUUUGUAGAAAAUGCCUUUUGAGACCGUGUAGGAGAAGUUUGUGAAGACAAAACUUUUUAAAGCUAAAUAUUGUUUCCUUUUGCUUUCUAAGUGAUGCUAUGGCUAUUAUUUCCUGAAACAUGAUUUCAAGAAACCAGAUGGUAAUCUUGCUCUUCAACUUUUGUAAAUUCGAACUUCAAAAGACACUUGAUUUUCACAAAUACUUUUCUUUCAUCUGAAAUAAGUUAAAAGCAAAAUUAAAAGCCCGCUGGGAAACUAUAGUCUUUAAAAAUAGUUCAAGGCUUUAAGCAAAUGAGAGAAAAUGGGAAAAUACUACUACUAGGCUUUGGAUGUUUCUUUUAGUCUGUAUUAGUAUGCUAAUACGUGGAAGAAUUGAGAAAUAUAACAUGAUGCAGAUGACAGCUUCUCAUUUGCCAUACACCCGGAAUGGUCUGAAACUUUUCACCAAGAAAGGAGGCCUGACAUCGCUGGAUGUGGAGGAAAUAUGCUACAGAGCCGCCCGGAAAUAUGCUAAUAGACUUGCAAAAGUGUCAACUGCUCUACGGAAUCCACCAAAAAGAGUGGAUUUCAUGAGCACUUAUGCAAAACACCUCAGAGAUAUCAUCAAGGAAAGAGUUAAUCAUCCCUUGCAUUAUGACACUCCUCUCCAAGGAUUUCAGGUUGGAAAUUUUAGCACGAUCUUUAUUUAGUUUGUGACUGAAAAAUUCUCCUGCACGAGUUGUUUUUCCCUUGUUCUGUUCAUUCAUGUGCAAUGGUGGUUCCACCUACCUCAUCUAUGUUGGAAUCAAUUGUUAUACUAGCAAGUGAACAUUGGCCAUAAAAAUUGCAUGAUUGUCUGUGUUGUUAGGGUGAAUAUUAACCUUUGUUUGAUUUAUUUAUUUAUCUUUUCACCCCUUUCUACACCCUUCCUAUUUUCAACUGUCAGACAUAAGAUUUGAAUCCUGAAUCUGACAGUAAAGAAGACUCCAAGAACUCUUUCUUGUCUACUAGAUCGACCCCAGUGGUUAGGAUGAAUAUUAACCUAAAAUAUGUGAUUGAAAUAUACGAAUUUUAUCUGAUUAAUUUUUUUAAAAGUAAUUUUGCGUUUGUCUGAUUUAGUAAAAUGAACUACUGCCUACCAAUAUUUUCAUUAAAGAACUUGCUACGAUAUAAUAACUAAACUUUGGGCUCAGCCUAAUACUUUUGUCCAAAUAAAAUAACUUCAACCAAAGUGUCGGCCCACGCUCUUCCGGACCCCAACAGUCAAUACGCUUGCAACACAGGCUGGCCAGAAAUAGCAAUGAAACGGAAGGCCCAUUCUAAAACAAAAUGAAAAUUUGUUCUUAAAAAGAAAAUGAAAGAAGGAAAGAUAUAUGGGUACCUUCAAUUUACUUAUUCUAUACGGUGUUUUUUUGGGUAAAUUACAGAGUCUUUUUUAUUUAUUUUUCUUCUUAUUUGGGAUGCAUAUGGAGGAAAUCUGAUGAAAUUAAUGCAGAUAAUUGUGAAUGCUGGAAAUGGAUCAGGAGGGUUCUUUACAUACGAUGUCUUAGACAGGCUAGGAGCAGACACAUUCGGUUCUCUACACCUCAAUCCAGAUGGAAUGUUCCCUAACCACAUUCCUAACCCUGAGGACAAAACUGCCAUGGCCUUAACAAGGGCUGCAGUUCUUGAAAACAAAGCUGAUCUUGGCAUAGUUUUCGACACCGAUGUUGAUCGAAGCGGCGUCGUUGACAGCUCUGGCAACCCCAUAAAUGGUGACAAACUCAUAGCACUGAUGUCUGCCAUUGUCCUGAAAGAGCAUCCUGGAACUACAAUUGUGACUGAUGCACGUACAAGCAUGGCCCUGACUAGAUUCAUCACUGACAGAGGAGGUCAGCAUUGCCUGUAUCGAGUUGGAUAUAGAAAUGUGAUUGAUAAAGGAGUUCAGCUUAAUAAGGAUGGGAUGGAGACUCAUCUGAUGAUGGAAAUUACUGGCCAUGGUGCUCUCAAAGAAAACCAUUUCCUUGAUGAUGGUUAGUCUAUUUCUUCUACGGAAAAUAUCAAGAUUGCAGACACUGUAACUUACAAACUUAAAAGACAUAUAUUAAUAGUUUUCUAACAUAUCUCAUGUAACUCAGUCUGUCAAUCUGAUUCUAACUUUAUCCCUAAAUUUAAAAUAAACAUUCUCCCGAUUUCUUAAAAUUACUGGGGUUUACAUUGUCUUUUUUAUUUUGAAAAUCACAAUGUCUGUAAUGCAACUAUUGUCCUUGUUCUAUAUAUAAACAUGAAUCUUAAAUUUUGGCAUGGAUUCUUGAUAUGCACUUUACAUUGACUAAAUCAAGCGAUGUGGUUGAACUUUGCAGGUGCUUAUAUGGUUGUGAAGAUCAUCAUUGAGAUGGUAAGAAUGAAGCUUGAGGGCUCAGGUGAUGGAAUAGGUAGUCUUAUUAAAGAUCUUGAAGGGCCCCUGGAAUCAGCAGAGCUUAGGAUGAAUGUCAUUUCUGAGCCAAGGUUUGCAAAAGCCAAAGCCAUUGAGGCCAUUGAAACAUUCAGAAACUACGUUGAGGUACAUAUCUAUUACUUUGUGCUAAAAAAGAACAAGGAAAAUAGCAAGAACCAUAUCUGAUCAAAUCUUUAGUAUACUUUAUGCUAAAAGAAUGGUAAAUUAUUUGCAGGAAGGUCAGUUGCCAGGCUGGGAUUUAGACUCUUGUGGAGAGUGUUGGGUAAGUGAUGGCUGCCUUGUGGACACCAACGACACUCCAGCAGCUGUUGAUGCCCACAUGUACAGGUGCCAAAAGUUUUCAAACUAAUGCUCCGCCUCCUAUGUUUUUGGGGCUCCUUAAUCAAUCUCUCCUUUUCCUCUAUAACAAAUUUCCGCAUAAAAAUUACACCCCCUUCCCUUAAAUCCGUAUGAUGUAAAAGAAUUGAUCACCUAAUUUGAAAAACAUAAAACUUUUUCAAUGGUCAGGUAGAUCUUUAGGUUGCAUCAUUGUCUUUUAAACCUUAGGUUAUGGAUCCACCAUUGCUUUUGGCGAGAAUGGCUCAAGCUGCUCCUAAUCUAUUUAUCAUAAAAUGUUAACACCUUGACAAACUCUACAUAAUUGUAGUCCCAUUAUUGCUAAAUACAAAUUUGCUCAAACUCCAGGGCCAAAGUUUCUGACAAGGACAAUGCAGAACUUGGAUGGGUACAUCUUAGACAGAGCAUUCACAAUCCAAAUAUAGCUGUGAAUUUGCAAUCCAACGUACCAGGAGGUUGCCAAUUGAUGUCAAGAGACCUCAGGGACAAGUAAUUUCCAUUACUUCAUUAACACUAUUGAUUUCUUGGCUUCAUAUUAGUACUCUUGAAAUUUUGAUUCAUUCAGCCAAUUUAUCUAUGCUUUGAUUCGGAAUUUCAGGUUUCUUUUGGCAAGUGGGAUGGAUAGAAUUCUCGAUAUCAGUCAGAUUGACAAGUAUGCCAGAAGCGGAAGUGUUUGAUGAUAUGCAAAGCCUUGUGGAAAAAUCAAGCAUAGAUGUAUAGUAGAUAGUAUACAUAUAGAAGCAUAGAUGUAUAGUAUAUAGUAUACAUAUAGAAUAUUAGACCCGUGAAUUGUACCUACUUGUACAGUACGAACCCUUUUAUUGUAACAUUCAUAUACUUUUGAUCACUCAUUCAGUAACCAUACCAAUUAUUGUAAACAUUGACAAUUUGAGAUGGAAAACUCAACUUGGCCAUGCCAAGGGUAAUUCAUGCAUAUUUUCCUUCUCUUUUUGUGGCUUUUGACGGUUGUGGUAGCUAAGGUUAUGCUUCUUAUCAUAAGCCAUUGGUAAAUGUUGAUCCAUCCUUCUUGGUGUCACAACGAUUUGUGCAUAAAAGAGACAAACGAAUUUUUACAUGAUAGAUCAUAAAAAUGCUAAAAUGAAAUUUAUUUGAGACACACAUGGCAUGUAUUCUUGACUGGUUUUACAUUGAAAUUCCUGAUCAAGAAGCUUAUCAAGCUUGGAAAUGAUCUUGGUUCUUGAGGAAGUAAGCAUCAAUUAUGUUACUAACUUCACUUGCAAAGUCAAACAUGUGAUCAGGAGCAGGGACAUCUAAAUUCUGCUUCUCAUACUCGUAUGUCCAAUUAAGAAAAUUCUUCUCACCUUUUGAAGUUGCUUGGAAAGUUAUUAGCAAGCUCUUAUAAUCCUUCAGAAGAUCACCCUCAAGAAUUCUGUAAGUCGUUGACCUGUUAUCUUCAUCAACAGUUUCAAUAGUCUCCUUUACAGGAAUUAGUUUGCCAUCUGCAAUUAAUACACAUGAUUACAACAUGAACCAAAUUAGGAAUGAAAAAUCAACAAAAAAAAAAAAACAUUGCAUAUUUAUACAAGGUCUACACUCUUUAAUAUAAGAAGUCCAUGCAGGCCUUACCAAUCAAGUAAUUUACCAAAAGUUUGCAUCCUACUUCUCCCCAAUUUCCUUCAAGUAAUUCGAUGCUAGGAAGUUGUCAGGGCAGAUGCUUGGCAGAUAUUAUUGUUUCUUGCUGCCAUAAAUUUCGAAGAAAAGUAUUCCAGGAGAUGAGAUCUCCUGCUCGAACACUAGCUUGCCACUAAGACUCAUUCUUCUCUGGACAAUUUGAAGUAUAAAGUUCCCUUUGAUCUUUAUAUACUUGUAAAAUGUAGUUGUUUUGUUUCUGAGCAGAAAGUUUAAAAUCAUAUUUUGGGAUUGAGAUCUAUGAUUGGUUGCUUUUCCACGAGGCAGUCAUGAUCUGAAUGGUUGAUCCCUUGAUUAAAAACAAAAAAACAAAAAUACGUUUGAUCACCUAACCUCCUAAUUGGUGUUUUUUCUAGUCUCCCACUCUGAUUUCCUUUUUCAAGAAUAGGACAUCACAACUCCUAAUUGGUAUAUUUUACUCUCCACUCUGUUUAUCUUUUUCCAAGAAAAGGACCUGCGCCAACAAAAUAAGCUGAUUUAUCAUGACAAGAUUUCGUUACACAACUUUCUUUAGAACAGCAAAGCAAAGGGCAUCACAGAUGCUUUUGCUAUAGAAAUUGUCAGCAGAGGGGAUGAUUACAAUCAAUGUAUCACAGAUGUUAGUUCCAUGACUAUGAAGUUUUUGUGUUACAAAUUAACAUCAAAUUGAAUAUGGUUUUUGUCAGCUAAUUAAUAUCCAGAUUUAAUUUGUGUUAUCCACCAAAAGAGAAAAAUUAUUGCAUAUAUCUUCAUCUCCAAACGAAAAAUUCUACAAAGUAAACCUGAUAAUGCAAUGGACACAAACUUAAAAAGCAAGUAACAUGUUUGAUCAGUUUUCAACAAUGGGCUAGAGGUGACAAUGGAGAUUUAGCUGGUAGGCGUCCCUUUGCCAUUUACUAAAACCAUUGGUGGCUACUAGCUAGCCACUUUUUAAAAUCUUAGGGACCUGUACGAAAAUUGCCCCAAUUCUAAGCAUGCAAAAUACAAUUUUGUGAAACCACUGGAUUUUUAAAAAAAAAAAAAAAAAAAUUUCCUCUGUUUUUUUGUAUUCAAGAGAAGUAUAUAUUUGAUGGAGCACUUUGGCAGUACAUGAUUUAUUUCACCUUCCUUGGUCCUUGCCUAUUAAAUAAUGCACAAAAACAGUUUGUAGCCCACAUCUCCACAAUUUCCUUAAUGGUGGAACUUAAUUUACCUAGGCAAAUUUUACUAUUUUAGGCAGGGCAGCUUUCUUGGUGCGACAAGGCUCAAUGAGAGGAUGACCAAAGGGAAAAGAAUCAACCCAAUGAAGCAGAAUUUGAUUCCUUAGUUUGUCAUAUACAACUAAUACUACCAUUUUGCAAUUAUAAGUUGUUGGAGAAGGUUUUUAAUUCAUUCGAUUGGAUCUUCCUAAUCCAUCUAAAGUCACUUACGCUUCAUUAAUUUUUAACCAUAUCAUGUUGGAGAAAACUAUAGCCAUCUCAACUGGUAAAGAAGUAUAAUAUAAUGGUCAAAGGAUAGAAUUCCUCACUGCUAGUUCAAUAAAAUAUUAACAAGUCUUUGGGCAUGAUCUAGCAAAAUAUUCUUCAGAAAGAUUUGCUUUUGCUUGAUCACUUAUUUUAUUAUUAUUAUUAUUUUUUUUUAAAUCUCCACCUUGUCAUCCAAUCUAAUCUAACUCCCUGAAAUUCCCAACAGCUUAAGUUUAAGCUGGUAAAAGUGGAAUAUAUAUAUAUAUAUAUAUAUAUAUGCCACAACCAUGAGUCGAGUUUGCAAGACUUUUUUUUUCUUUGAGCACCCGAUAUUUUCACCUUUAGUAAAAUUAAAUCGAAUUUGAUUCAAAAAGCGUCCAUAAAAUUCGAUUCUUAUUUGAAGGUGAAGGUAUGGUCCAAAAUUUUUCAAAGUGCUACAUACAAGAGUCAAACCUAUGAUCUCCCAUUGGCAUUAGUAACAUGUUGACCGGCUGUCCCAAGUUCAUGAGUCCAAUUUGCAAGACUUGGAAAUACUGAUAAUAUAUUUUAUAAUAAAAGUGAAAAUCUGGAACAUGUAGACAAUUUAGUCGUAUCAUACUCUAUUAUUUUAAUCAUUAAGCUAUCCAACAAACGGCUAAUUUGGUCUAUUAAGCCUGCCUUCUUUACAAUUUGAUCAAACAACAUAAGCUGAAAGCUAUAAUAUGGCUUUGUCGACCAGAUCAUAAUUACUAAAAACACAAAAUUAGCAUUAUGCUUAGAUAAUCAAGUGAGUAAUUAAGUUCUCAAGCUUGAACCCCAUGGCUUUUGUUAUUCAUCUCCAGAUAACGUGCAUCAACUAUGCUGGUAAUUUCGCUAGCAAAGCCCUUCAAUGCAUCAGGAGGUGGAACAUCAGCAUUCAUCUUCUCAUAUAUGUAUGUCCACUUCAAGAAAUUCUUUCCAUGUUUUGGAAUAAUUUGGAAAGUGAUUUUCAAGGUUUUGUGCAUCUUCAUCAGGUCACCCUCAAAUAUAGCAUUUAGGUUCCAAUCAAACUGCUCCCUUCACUUUUCUUAAAUCAUUACAAUUCUCCUAUUAAAAAAAUGAUAAAAUAAAAGUUCGAUUCUGUUUAUGAUAUGGGCCACCCAAUGACCCAAGCUAAAUUUAAUUAUGGGCUUAGUUUCUCUCUGAAUUGUUUGGAGUAUGAAAUAUAACUGGACCACCUUUGAACCCGGCCAAAUUAGACAUUUAUACAGUCUGGAUUACUGGACAAACUGGGAAUAUGCAUUUCUUAAUGGGCCUCUUCUACAUUCUUGCCCGAGAAGAUAGGCCCCGUCUGGUCUCAAAGAUAUGGAUAAAAGAAAAGGAAUAUUGAAAAUGAAGAUUUACGAAUUUAGUAUUUUUCGUUUUUAUUCUUUUAGUUUGUUGAAUAGAAAGGCAUAUAGCUUGAGUAAUGAAGUAAAUAAAGUAUAAAAUCUUUAUACUUUUGUUUUUUACAGUUAAAUAGAUCAAUUUUACCCGAAAAAACAAAAGGGAACUAGCUAACAUAUCCAAUAGAUGGCCAAAUUAUAAUUUGGUCCUUGAAGCCUACCUUCCUUACACUUUGAUCAAACAAACAUACAUUGAAAUCUACGGUAUGGCUAUACCCUGAUUUAUGAUGGUAAUCAGAGUUGAAUCCAUCUAAACUUUUAAUUUCUAAGAGCCACAAGCUCGCAUUAUCAUUAGAUAAUUAAUUGAGUAAUUAAGUUAUCAAACUCGAACCCCAUGGUUUUUUUUUUUUUUUUGAAUUCAGUUCUAGACAAUGUGCAUCAAUUAAGCUGGUAAUUUCACUAGCAAAGCCUUUCAAUGCAUCAGGAGCAGGAACAUCAGUAUCCCUCGUCUCAUAUAAGCACGUCCACUUCAAGAAACUCUUUUCAUCAUUUGAAGUAACUUGGAGGGUGAUUUUCAAGGUGAUGUACAUUUUCAUAAGAUUCUCCUCGGAUAAAUCGUAAGUGAUCCACUGGUUCUUCUUGUCUACAGCUUCCACAGUUUGCAUUGAAGUCAAAACUUUCCCUCCUGCAAAAAAAAAAAAAAAAAUUAUAUAUAUAUAUAUAUAUAUCACAUGAAAAAUGGUUCAUUCAUUAAGUGGUAUAAACGUCAAGCCCUCUGACUCAAGGAUAUAUGGGCACACUUUUGUAGAAUUCUGUUUACACAAGAAAAUUUGGAGAAUUAGCACAAAGUUCAUAUGGUUUUUGGCAAGUGUUAAGUAAUUGUUGCAAUAACAAAAACCAUUGAAACUAAUUUCUAGAUUUUUGCUUCUAGUGUUUCUUUUAGGGCCUAGCAGUGUUAAAUGGCAUCUAGUAUUUCUUUUGAUUACCAUAAAAACAUAAUAGAAUUACCGGUUAAAAGAGCAACGUCACAAAAAAAAAAUUUUGACAAGAAGAAUAUUCUUACCAAUGGAGAAAUGGACAAGAAGAAUGCAGCCCACAUUUCCCCAAUAUCCUGCAAGUAAUUCAAUGAGACGAAUCCUAUCCGGGCAGAGUUUCAGUAAUUUAUGUAUCUUGCUGCCCAAAAUUUCGAAGAAAACAUUUCCAGGAGAUUUGAUUUCCUGGACAAAUUCUAGCUUACCGCCAAGGCUACACAUUAUUUUUAGUGCCACAAUUUUCCAGUAUACACUAUGCACUUGAUGAAUUUUGGAUAAGUCCUCGUAUACAUACCAGGUCGAAAGUAAACUCAAAUCCUUUUACAGAAGUACGUUACAAUAUAAAUUUUAGUUUUAGCGUUUGUUUGCUAAAUCAAUCGUAGUAUUCUCGUGAGCUCAUGCCAUGCCAAGACAAAGAAACGGUAAAAUGGGAUUUACGUUACUUACUCGAAAUGAAUUUUUUUUUAAAAAGAAAAAUACAAAGAAAUUAAUGUUAAAAGAUUUACUCCUUUUCAUAAAUUUUUAUCAAAAAGUACAUAGGGAAAGGGAUGGGUUGGGUGAUUCGGGAAAGGGAAUGUAAGUGAGAGAUUUUGGUUUUGAGCUUUCCACUCACGCUAUUAAAACAUAUAAAUUCAAAGUGUAUGUAAUUAGACUAAUUUUGGGAAUUAUUUAUUCUAACAUGGUCGACAUUAUUGAUGAAAUAUGGCAUCAGCAGAACCUAACACUUUGAAAUUCAUCUGUCCCAGAAUUUCAAAUGGUAACAUUUUUCCUUAAAAAUUUGGAAUAUUUAUUUUAGGGAGGUAAGAGCAUCCAGUGGAAUUGAAAUAUGAAUUUUGGCUAACGGGUGUGCAAUUUGCCCUCGUUGAAAUAUCAGCUUGGCUAACCGGUGUUCAAAUGGCCCUCGCUAAGUGGGACAUUAAGCAUUAAUUUUGAAAAAAUGUAAUUACUUUGAAAAAGUUUAUAAAUUCAGGGGAUAUAAUAAUUGUGAUUGUGUGAAUUUAUAUGGUAAGUUAGAUGUAAUUUAGGUACGUUAACAAGUAUCUACCUGGAUGGGAACCUUUACAAAAAUCCUAAGGCAUUGUUGUUUUGAGAGAAUGGGAGGGAAAGGAAAGCAAACGGAAAUGGAGGGAUAAAGUUUUUAAAUUUUGGAUUAGUUUUUGAGGAGAGAAAGAAAAGGAUUUGAAGGGAAAGGGAGGGAUAAGAAUAGUUUUUUUUUUUCAGUCUGCUUCACAUCCAAAAGUGGACAAAAUUAGAGAAAAAUGACAUCAAAAUUAGUGAAAAUUCACGUGUUUAUAAAUUAAACUUUAAACUAUGGAUAAAAAUGUAAUUGACGAUCGAUAGUGUCCUUUCCUUUCCUCCCAUAAUCCAAACAAAAUAGAUGGACUCAGAUUUCUUCUACUCCCCUUUCUUUUCUUUUCCACUAGAGCCUUCUCCUUUCGUUGUCUUCCCUUUCUUUCAAUCCAAACGGUGCCUAAAAGAAAAUACAAGAUGAUGCGACUAAAAGUUUAUACCAUUCCUAUCGACUGUCAAUUGCAUCAAAACAUGAACUUUGUCUAUAUAAUGUGCACGCUUUGUCACUGAUUUUUGUCGAGUGCUUAGACCAUGAUUGUUAGUGUUGCUUGUUGGAUAGUUACUCUCAGUAAAAUACUUCGAGAUUUUAGGCCAUAGCAUAUACUUAUGGCUUAUAAAGUGCAUUACUAUAGACAAAAACUACCCAAUCAGCAACAACGGUAAUAUUGGGUUUAAAUGGUACAAUACACUAGGAUAAUGUGCAUUUUACCGACUUCAUGAAUGUGAAGAACUAAAUAUUAAGUAUUAAUUAUUUGUUUUUUUGGAUAUAGUUGGCUUCAAUUAGCGCUCAAACUCGAGAUCUCACAAGGAGAAAGAGAUAUUUUUUUGGUAUGGUUUCUCUUUAUUACUAGAGUUGGUAUCAAAUGUACUUAGGAGACAGAUAACUUAAACGACCUUAAGCGAGGGCUAUGAGCUAUAAAACAAGAAGAGGACGAACUACUAGAAGAAGAAUAUGGGCAUAGUAGGGUUCCAAACAAAUCGAAUUGCUCGCUAGCAAUUCGAGUCAAAAGUUGACUUGAGUUAGAUCAACAUCGAGUUCAAACUAACUAAGUCGAACUUCAGGUCAAAUUCGAGUUCAAAGAUGCUUAACUUGUUAGCUUGCGAGUUAACUCGAUUUUAUAUAUUUAUAUUUAUAUUUUUUAUUUUAAUAGUAAAACUAGAAUUUUGCCCGUGCCUUACUAUGGUCUAUUUUUAUUUAUUGCGAAUUUAUACAAAUAUGAAUAAUUUAAAUACGAAAAUUAACAACAAUUCUACGUGUUCAUUCAUACUAACUUUAAAAAAUUAAUGUAUUCUAAAAGUUCAAUUAUUUUAAAGCUUUACUUGUUUUGGCCCUAGAUUCAUUUUCCUCAGUUAUGUAGACCACUGGACAUUAUUUUUUUUGCCCCUAUUAUUUUAUUUUAGUUUUCUUUUGUGUGAAAUUUUGAUCACGAAAUAUAACUAGAAGCACCUGGACCUGUCCAAAUUAAACACAUCUAUAGUAUGGAUUACUGAAUAAAAAGGAGCUUAUGUAUUUUGCUAAGGGGCAUCCUCCACAAAGUGGCACAAUUCAAAGGAAUUCUUACGCAGGUAGACAAACCCGUUUGAGAUGGGGAUAAAUUAAAAAAGAAAAAUUGAAAAGGGAGAUAUACCACCGUUUUAUUAAUUUUUUAAAUUUGGUAAGUCUUUUCUUUUUGAAAGGUUAGUUUGGUAAAUCAACUCAAGUAAUGAAGUAACAAAAGUAUAAACUUUAAACUCUUUACAGUUAAACAGCUCCCAAAAAAAAAAAAAAAAGGGUCAGUUUGCUAAAGAAUACAAUCUAGCUCUCAAGGUUAUACUUCUCAUCAGCCAUCAUACUGCUUCUGCUACUUUAAUUGUAAUAAGUUCAUGCUGGUAAAUGUAUUUGCACCAAAGUCAUGUCCAAAUAUUUAUUAUCUGAGUUAAAAAGAAAUAUAAGUGGUGCGAUAUUUUGGAAUUAUGAUUCUUUACUUUAAUGGAAUAUAUUAGACUAGUUGGCCAAAUAAAAGAAAUCAUUUGGGGUUAUAUUUUGAAAUCAGCAAAUUUGCCGAAGAAAAAUAGGUCCUUGCCAGUACGAAGCAACCACAUGUAUGUCACAAUAAAAUCACAAAUAUUCAUUACUCACAAAUAAUAUUUAUUUAUGUUGUUCAACUUUUACAAACAUUACUUGUGAAACUAACAAGCAUUAGCUUUAUAAUGACAUAGCACUUAAUAGCACACAUUUAUUCGUGCAUCCAUUUUAGAAGACACCAUAGCAACUUCAAACACGCUAAAUACUUAGAAGAGAUAUGUCUAUAUAUAUAGAUGGUUCAAGGAUUUUUGAUAUGAUGAGAUUCAAUGUCUUCAACCAUGUGAAGGAAAAAGUUGAGCAAGGUUCCUGGAUGUGGGGUAUCUUCCUUCAGCUUCUCAUAGUCGAGAGUCCAUGUAAUCAAACUUUCUUUGUCACCAAGAACAUCAACAUGGUAUAUGAUAGUGAAGGUCUUGUACAGCUCCAUCAGAUCUCCUUCAAUCAUCUUAAAUACGAUUGAUUUCUUUUCUUCAUUUAUGUCUUGAAUAAUCUGCUUUGCCACCCUAUCUUUCCCGUCUGUAAAAAUGAAAAGUAAAUCAAUUACAGACUCUCCAAUUCCUAGUCAACAUGCUGGUAAUCCAAAAACAAGGUUUGCGGAAUUCUUUCUUUUCUGUUUUUAGGAUAGACAAUACUAUUUACACAACCAGGGAAGUAUUCUCGUUGUGAAAUACCUGGUAUUUCGCAUAAAAAAUUUGAGAAAAAGCAAAAGAAAAAAAAUUCUGUAGUAUUAAUUGAUUGAAUUCUUUACGAAGAUGGACUUCCUUAAUUAACCUCUGUAGUUUCCACAAUCAGAUUAUUGUCUUUGUAGAAAUACUAAUAAUAAUAUUAUUAAUAGUAAUAGAUCUAGUCCGUUUUUCAUUAAAACUUUUUCCCGAGGCAGAUAUUAAGCUUUUAUCCUUUCUUUUUUCUGGCAAAUAAGUUAGAUAACUAGUUGUGUGCCAGUUCAAAGCAGGGAAAAACAGAUGGAGAGAGUUUAAAUCAACUUAGUCCAGAAGCUGACCGACACGCAACAAAAGCUAAAUGAAUAAAGGAAAAACAAGAAAAACUGCGGGGAAGAAAGUGCUAAAAUAAGGAACUUGAAUAUUGAUUCCAUACCAUGGGUAUAGUGCCAGCAGAUUUUGGAUCCAACAGUUCCAAGAUCACCACCAAGCAAAGUAAACCCUUGAACUUUCUCAGGAGUCAUGGUGGCAAGAUGGUGUGGUCUUUUGCUGAAGGCAUCAUGGAACACAUCUCCAGCAGGGCCAUGGAUGUUAGUUUGACCAAUCAUUUUACCUUUGAGCCCCAUUUUUUUUUUUUUUUUUUUUCUGAGAAACUGAGAAGGAAAUGACCAAAUACUGCUGCAGCAAAAAAAGGCAAAGAAAUAUUGAAGGAAGUCUCAGUUGUGGUCUGCUAGACUAUCCCUCUGCUCCUUAUAUAGUAUAGAACUGAUGGGUGACUUCACCCCCCACCUCCACCCCCACCCUUUCUUUUUCAGGCUCUAUAAACCACGUAAGAGGAACCAAUUAUCUUCGCCAGCAACUAUCAUUUUUUUUUUUUAAUUCAUGAGAUGUUGUAUUGGUACAUCAGCCCUAAUAAAUGAUACUCAGCAUCCAUUAAAAUGUGAUUAUCCUCAUUUUCUAUUAAUCUAUAAUCAUAUUACAUCUAUAGUUUUGCACUUAGGGUCAACAGACUCGACACCAUUCAUUUUUUUAAUGCCUACAACUAAGGUUUUCUUGUGGGCAACUUAAAUUUUAUUUUGAUCAAUCCUCCUUUGUCACCUUAACCAAAUUGGAUAGAAUGAGGUCCAUCCUUAACAAAUAUUUUUGGAUAGAUCUACUUCUCUUCUCCAUGCCCAAAAUGACGGCAUCGAUGAAUUUCAGAUGUUAGUGAAAAGCAAUAAAUCAUAUGUUCCCUUAAAUGGUUUUGGGUAGGUGAUGACUGAGGCUGUAUUAUUACCAAAAAAGAUAAAACUGUAUCACAUGAUUCACAGAUGACACCUCAUUUAAAUCUUCAUAAUUGCUUGCCAUUUCCCAAUCAAUGGGACCAUAUUUCAUCACGGUUUAUCUCUCCAAUGCAAUCUGUAUAUAUAUAAUGGUUUCUUAGGGCAGUAAUUAAUCGGUGGCAAGGCCUUGUUUGGGCUUUGGAUUGCAAUUUUUUUCAAAAAUUUUGAAGAAUAUUCUAUCAACACAUUUCACAACUCUUACCUCACAUGUGUCACAUUUGCCAAAAAAGUGCUACAAUAUUAUUUUUUAAAAUAAAUCCUACAAACUCCAAAUAAAUUUAAAAAAAAAGGGCAUUCUGUUAGGUUCAUGAAUAAAAUAUUAUGUUCCACAUUGAUCUGAAAGAUAGAGAGAAAACGAUUAAUAUGUAAAUAAGGGUCUAAAACCUAAUGAUUUAAGUUUUUGAAUUAGAGUUAGGUUUCUGAUUUAUAUAUUCAACUCUUUGGUGGGCUUUUUCGAGGUGUUAAUUCCUAUCAAAUUCAAUUUAUAAAACUUUUUAACCUGUGAUGUUAAAUGGGGAAAUCAUCUAAAGCUAGGAUUCCGCUAAACUGGUAAGGUUCAUAUACACAGUCUAAGAAAAGUUCGUGUUUGGGUCCUGCUGCGGUGCUUUCUUACUUUGUUUAUUUUACCAGCAUGAGCUCAGCUCGAUCUCGACUGUUUAUUUCACGUCAGCCGAAAAUUUUGAAAUCAAUGAUCCAAUGGAUCGAACCAAGUUCAUGUGGUCCGAUCCAUGUCGAGAAUUUAAUAGUGCGCUUGGCAAGCCAACCACACCGAUACCUCACCUGUUCCCAUCAACCUUCUUUUAAGUUUUCAAAUUAUUUUCCAUCUUACACACAUUUUACACAUAUCAAUAACAUCUUGCACACAUUUUCCACUUCGAGUGAAACCAUUCAUUUUUUAGUGCCUAUAACUAAGGUUUUCUUGUGGGCAACUUAAAUUUUAUUUUAAUCGAUAUCUCUUAGUCUGAUUUUUGCUUUACGACAAGAAUACGUCACCAACAUUGGAUAGAAUGAAGGCCAUCCUUGACAAAUUAUUUUGGAGAGAUCUACUUCUCUUGUCCCCGGCAAAAAUGACUCUCCAAUAAUGACUCCUAGAAGUUAGUUAACACAAUAAAUGAUAUGAAUGAGUUUGGGACAGCUAGCAAGCAAGUUGCUAAUGUCAAUAGUAGAUCGCAAGUUCGACUCUACAUGUGACGUCUUGAAAAACUCCGGUAGGAUGCUCACCCCCGAAUAAAAGUCAAACUUUACGGAUUCUCCUUGGACGGAAUCCGGAUUAGUUUUACUAAGAGUGGAGAUAUCGGAUGCUUAAAGCAAAACAAAUAAAUAAAUAAAUAAUGAUAUCCUCUUCUUACAUGGUUUUUGGUAGGUGACAACUGAGGCAUACUAUUACCAAAUGGGAAAUAAACUGAUGCCAUACCACUUCACAUGAUUCACACAACACAUAAAAUUUCUUAAUUGUUUCCGGCAGUGGGGCCAUAUUUCAUGGGUAAAUUUGGGAUCCUUAUCAAAGAUUAAUUGGGAGACAAGUUAAGGCCUUAUUUGGAUUACAGUUUUCUUAAGAAAUUUUUUUACGUUUUGCGUGAACACAUUUAUGAAUCAUAUUUUUAUUUCACAUAUAUCAAAUUGUUGCAACAUAUUUUUUUUACAAAAACUUUUAAAAAUAGUAGUCCAAAUGGGUUCUUACCUAUUUAGGACUUCGAUGUUUUCUCUGGUUUUAGAAUUACGUAACCUUUGCCUCUUCCUGAACUUUUCGCUGCCAAAAAAAAAUCUAAUUAAAAACUCGUCUUAUGUGGAUGCGGGGCACUGGUGAGUGAAGCAAGGCCAACGCCGUGGUGUAAAUGUGUAAUAUGGGACAUUGACUUCAAAAUUUGGAAAUCAACUAUCGAUCAUCAAAUUAAGCUCAUCCGGUCCAAUCACCAUAAAUUGGAUGAUUGUUUUGGUUCAACCGCACCAACACUUAACCCAUUUUAUGUGUAUAUAUUAUGUGUACUGAGGAUAGCCAUCCUGGCUCGGCCAUAUCGAGCUCAACCCUUUGUUAUUUGGGAUGGGUUGCCACAAGUCUUGGUUACCUAUGCUAGACAUCGCAUGCGGAUAAUCGAGGUGACUCCCACAUCCAUUGAUACCUUGGAUUGGUGCUGUGCUUGACACGAUAUCCGAAGUCUUAUCAGAGAACUUGACACAUGCAUGGCGGACAAGACAUCUGAUGGGACCUGUCAACUGCUUCGUGCUGUCAAAUCAGACUGGACAUGUUAGUUCCUGUUAGGUCCUAGGAAGUUGAAACCCACUAUUCCUUCCUCCCACUUGUCCCCUAUAAAUACUACUCCCUCUCCUUCAGAAAGGGGGAGGAGAAAAAAGAGAGUAAGGACUCUUCUAUUUCUGUUUCAUUAUUAACUUUCCAAGAAAACUAACUUAAUCAUCGGAGGUAUUUCGAGGGAAAAUGCCCUGUCUAGUAUGUGUAUUAAGAAAAGAACACCACCAAAUCACCUCGAUCAGGAAGAGGAGGCAUCAGGUCAGCUCGGCUUGACCAUUUAGGAACAGCCUCUUCAUGUGUAUAUCAACUUUCUUUUAAUAGGAUGAAGACAAGUUUGCAGUAAAUACCAAAUACCCACCAACUACACCUCACAUCACCCCGUUUUAUGUAUAUCAACUUUCUUUUUUAAUGGAAUGAAAAUAAUUCGGGAAUAAGUUUGCAGUAAAUACCAAAUACCCACCAACUGCACCUCGCAUCACCCCGUUUUAUGUAUAUCAGCUUUCUUUUUUUAAUGGAAUGAAAAUAAUUCCGGAAUAUGUAUUUGUUUUCUUACGAGUUUCAAUUGGAUACUCAUUAAGACAUCUAAAGUACAGUAAAAUUAUCAUGUGAAAAUACAUAUUAACAUUUAUUAUACCUCCUAAAUUGCAACAUUUUUUUUCAAAUUAGUUAUACUUUUUCAAAAAAAAAAAAACUAAUAUCUAGUACUUUUUUAACGAGUGGCCAAUACACACUCGUUAGUCAAACCGUAGAAUUAGAUACCCAAAUCUUUUAACCCAAAAAAAGGUCCAAUUCAGUCGGGGGGGCCAAACAAGCUAUAUGUCAUUCAUGUUUGGGGGGGUUAAAUUCUCAGAAGUGAUUUUUAUUGUGAAAAAACAAGAUAUAGCCAUAUAGGCAAAGAAGUGGACUGUAUUAAAUUGGGACAUCGUAAUUCGUAAUCUUUAUCACAGCAACCUUACUUGAAAUACGGGAAUUAAUGAAAGUUAAGUGCACUGGACAUUAUUUAAUGUAUUUAAUAAAUUAAUAGAGGCCCCUUUGAUUCUUGACUCAUGGAUGCAAAGAAACAGGUCCCCAUAAGAGUUAGAAUAAAGUUUGGUACUAAAAAAAUUUUUGUAGGAAAUUAAACCAAGCUAUUUUAGUAUUAGUCUCCUAAUUCUUUUUGGUGUCUUAUUUGUCUAGUUUCCAUAUUAAAUUAAGAAAUCUCAAUCAGUUUUCAAGUAAGUUUUGGGUUAUAACUGUAUUUGUUUUAAAAAAUUUUGGAGUCUAUAAAUACUAACAGCUUAGUAAGUUAUUAUUUGAAGAGUUGACUUGAGUUUUAAGAGUAGGUUUGAGAGAAAAUCUCAUAGUUAAGAUUUGUGAGCGAAAAGUUAUGACUUGAUAUUUAUUAUUGCUGGGUUUUGAAAUAAAUAAAUUAUUGAGUAUUUGUUCUCCUCCUCUUCCCACAUAUUUUUAUAUGUGUCAAAAUUGUUUCUGCUGUGCGCGAGGAUUUUUGGUGUGCUAACAAGUGAUAUCAGAGCUCUAGACUUUGAUCCUGGGGUUUGUCCGCAAAAUUGGGGCUUGGAGCUUGUUCGUGAAACUAAAGUAUGGAUCCCCAUUAUUUACAAUAUUGUCCUGCUUUUAUCUUUGAUGGUAAAAAUAAUUUUGAGACUUGGAGGUCAAUGAUGAAGGAUUUUUCAAAGAUAUUGGAAUUUUGGAAUAUUAUCCAAAAGGGGUUCACAGAAUCUAUAACUAGGGGUGGGUCAAAAAAUCCGUCGAUCCGAAAACCUGACUAAUUCGAUCCGAAAAAUAGGAUAUCUGAUCCAACUUUUUUUAGCGGGGCAGAUGCGGGUCGGGUACCCUAAAAAGGGAUACGAAUAUGGAUCAAGAAAAUAAAAACCCAUGGGUACCCGACCCGCAAGGUAUAUUAUGUAAAUAUUAAAAAAUUAGGGGUCAUUUUAUAAUUUUAUAAUUUUUAAUCCUAAGUGUAAGUAAAGUGACUCACAACCUCAUAUUCUAAUCCCAUAUGAUCCGCCUCUCCUUAUCUUGUUUGAAAAAAGUGAAUAUUCUUGAUGAAACCUAAACCAAAUGAACAAAAUGAAGAAAAAUUUGUGAAACUCUAUCAUAAAAAUUGUUUAUCCAUUUCAUUUCCAUUUCAUUUUAUAUUAAAAAUUAGGGUCCUAGUUGGGUCACCGUCUGAGAUUUUCAUUUGCAAGAAGAAAUCAAAUAUUGAGAGAUUUUCUUGGCCCUAGUUGGGUUCUUUUCUUGGGGGUGGUCCUUUUCAUCCUAGUUGGGUCCUUUUCAUUUCAUCCUAGUUGGGUUCUUGGGGGUGGUCCUAGUUGGGUCCUUUUCUUGGGGGUGGUCCUAGUUGGGUCACCGUCUGAGAUUUUCUUGGCCAGAAGAAAUCAAAUAUUGAUACCAUUAAGCCUAGAAGAUAUUCUUUUCAAUUAAAAAGAUGCAACUUUGGUUGGUUUUCAAUGCAUUUUUCAUAAAUCUGCAAGCUAACUGAGUGUCCCGGGCAAAAAUUAAUUGGUCGCGAAGUUUUAGCAUUCAUAAGACUUUAAUGUUUUCUGUGAUUUUGGAACUAGGUAACCAUACAAUCUUUCUGAACUUUUCUUUACCAAAAAAAAAAAAAAAAUUAUAGCAGGACAAAAUUAAUAGGAGUUCAUGUUAUUUGAAAAAAUCUAGUUUUAUGUGGAUCCGAUGGACCGGCGGGUGAAAGAUCAAUAUCUUGAAAUCAAUAUUGACUUCAAUGUCUUGAAAUCAAACAUGUAACAUCAAAUUUCCUCCUGUGGGGAGGUUGUUUAGGGGGAGUUUCUUCUCUCUUAAAGAUUUUUAGUGAGAGUUUCUUCUCUUCUAAAAAUUUUUAGUGAGAGAUUUUGUGGUUAGUCUACCUCUUAUAUUAGAUAUAGAUUUUUUGAAAUUUGGUUGUCACCAUGUCAAUUCUCACUUUAAUAUAUGAAUUUAAAUCAAUUCAUUAUCAGAUUUAGAAGGAAGCAUGCGGUAUAGUUGGAAGCAUACGCGAAUGAUCUUAAGAUUAAAAAUAUUUUAUCUUUUAAUUUUUUUUAGAAUUUCAAUGUUAUACGUUAUUGAUUUUCUAGAUUUGUAUAAUUGAUAUAAUUUCUGUCACUAACGCAGAUUUAAUGAAAUGAUGCUGUUUUUUUAUUAAACAUAAAUGUGUCAUCAAGUUGAGCUCAUGCAGUCCAAUCAUUGUAAAUAUUGAUUUGAGUGUUUGGAUUGUCAAUUAUUUCACUUUAUUUACACCUUAUUUAUACACACUUAUUUGCUUGCAUCAUCAGCAUAUUUUUUAAUCACCUUUUUAUCUUACAUAUAUCAUAUCAAAAAAGUGCUACAGUACUUUUUCACAAAAUUUUUUCAAAUAAUUUACAAUCCAAAUAAUGUAAAGGAUGAUGCUGUUGGUCAACUGCCCAACACCUCCACUAUUUUUAUUUUUUUAAUAUUUAUAGAAUAAAGACAAUUUAGCAAUAAAUACCAAACACCCACCAAUGCACCUCACCGCACCCCGUUUUCCGCACAUCAACUUUCUUUUAUGGAAUGAAGAUAAGUUAGGAUUCAAUAACCAUAUCCUUUAACCGACGAAAAAAAGAAAGAAAAAAAGAAUCCGAUUUAGUCCGAGGGGCCAAAGAAGCCAUCUGUAAUUCAUAACUCAUAUUUGCAGAAAUGAUUUUAAUUGUCAGAAGAUCAAAAGAUGGGCAGAGUAGUGGACUGCAUUUAAUUGAGAUGUUGUAAUUCGUAAACUUUAUAAGGGCACAAGAGUUAUGAUUAAAUUUGGUACCCAAAAAAAAAAGCAAAAAACUUCGAUAAAGCAUUCUUUUUUUUUUUAAUGAAACGAUAAGAUUUUUUCAUUCACUAAAAGGAAUUUACAUGUGUGAGCAAAGGCUCGAAAAGCUUUACAACUAGUGCUCAAGUGCACUGAGGAAAGUACCAUUCCUCAUUCACAAGAAUGCCUAAGGCAUAAAAACUAAGUCUUUUACAAUUUGUCAUAUUUUCUUCACUAACCAGCUCAAAAGAGCACAUGCAAAACAUCUUCUGCAAUUCAGUAAUAUCAUCAACCAAUGUUGCUAAACGGCUUUCUGAGGAGCUCUGAUGCCUUAACUGUCUCAGUAAUUCUUUGUUGUGGAAAAGGAUUUUGAUCCUGUCCCAAUGUUGCUCCAUAGCUUUACUUAAGACCAGUUUAACUGCUACCGCAUCAUCAAGGAUCUUCGUUCCGAGUGUUCUCUCCUUUAGUGCCCAUUCUACAAUCCUUGUGUGCUGGUAUGUCCUAGCUAUGGCUCCAACUCCAAAUGAAGGCUGUCUUUGCUGGCUUGUUGUAUUCACUUCCAGUAUUAUGAUCCCCUCAUCUUCAUGCUCCUGCUGAUGUACUGUUUGGUUGACAGCUAUUUCUCCUGUGCUCAUGCUGUCCUUAGUUUUUCCUUGUUUCUCUUGUUUCAUCCACUCCUUCUGAGCCUUGUUCAUUGUCUUCACCGGUGGACAUCUGUUUUGAUUUUCAAAAUCCUUCUUAUUUCUUUCUUUCCACACUUGCAGAAUAUUUGCAGUCAGUCCAAUAUGCUGUGCCCCUUCUAGUCUUGUCUUUGCCUCUGAUAUUUUGCUCCACCAUCGUUUGAAGUCUCCUUGUUGAUCUCUAGCUCCAUCCCAUUGUAUUGGGGUCACUUUCCAUAUAUCCAAGGUAUUUGGGCAGUUUAAUAGUAGAUGUUCCACUAUUUCCUGGCUCUCCCCACAAGCUCUACAUAUUGAAUCUCCCAUUCCUGUCCUUCUGAAGAUUGCUUCUCUGACUGGCAAUGCCCCUUUGAUGCACUUCCAUAUAAACAGCUUAAUCUUAUGUUUUAUGUUAAGCUUCCAAAGAGUAUUCCAUAUUUGUUUCAGUUGUUGGCUUUCUUCCAUUAUGCUUGGACCAGCUUUUCCUAAUUUUGCCUUCUCAGUACUGUUAUUUUCUUCCAUCAAAAGUUUGUAUCCAGAACUUACAGAAUAACAACCUCCUGCAUUGUGUUGCCAAAAAUAGCUAUCCUCCCUACCUAUUGAACUGAUAGGGAUGCUUAAAAUCCUCUCUCCAUCACUUUGGUUAAAAACUCUAAAAAUGGUGUUCCUGUCCCAUCUUUUCUGAAUGAUAAGCUCGUGUACUAUCUUUAGUGAGCUGUUAAGAGGUCUUGGGGUAGAAGGCUUACCAGAAGAUGAUCCUGGAAUCCAUUUAUACUCCCAAAUGUUUGUGCUUUUCCCAUUGCCAAUCCUCUUGAUCACACCUUUUUCAACUAAGCUUCUGGCUCCUAAUAGACUUUGCCAAAUCCAAGAGACAUUUUUUUGAGGUUUGCACUUGAAUAUGGAGUCCUUAGGGAAGUACUUAGCUCUCAGUACUCUACUGAUGAGUAGAUUUGGAUUGGUUAAAACUGUGAGAACCCGUUUUGCCCUAAGAAUUUUCCUAGGGUUUUUCCCCUUUAAUUGCUUGUUUUCUGCAUUUUCUGGCUUAGGAAAAUUUUCUUGGUGGAUUUUAUGAGUAAUUAUAGUUUUUAGAUGAUUUUCCUAGCAUUGGGUAGUUUUUGCAAAAUUACGGAUAGAUUAUGGAUGUGGGCCCCGCUAGUGCGAAAAGUUCGGAAAAAUUCGGCCAAUAAGGUUAAGUUUCGGAUACUGUGAAAAAUUUAUCGGGUGAUAAGAGAUAAGUAGAGUGUGUGAUAUGAUUGAUGUGAGAGAGAAAAGAAAGGAUAGGAAUGCAUUUAUUGGAGUGCCACAUGUCACCAUGAUAUUGGUUAGGACUUCAGAGUUACUAUUCUUUUUUUUGACUAUUUUGACUAAGUGGUUAAUAUCUUCAAAAAUCACUAAAAUUCACCAUUUUUCACCUCUUGUUGGCCGGCCCUCUCAAGCUCAAAGAAGGAAGAAACUUCAUCAAUUUUCAAGCUUCCAUUUGGUCCAAUCUUCCAAAAACAAAUACCUAAACUAGAUUUCACUCCAUAAAAUUCCUCCCUUGGGUGCUAGUAAGUAGUUUAGUGAAGUUUGUUUGAAGACUUAAGGUGUCCAACAUCUUCCUCUCUCUUGAUUACUUGGUAAGUGGUAUAUGAACACCCUCCUAUAUCUAAUGAUGUUGAAUUUAUGCCUAAUGGUGGCUAUUGUGUUAGAAAUUGUGGAUUAUUUCAUGGUUUGGAAUGAAUUGGUUGAGUUUUUUGUUUUUUGAGGAAUUUUCUGGUUUCAUAUGUUCUUGAUGGUGUGGUUGUUUUUGAUGGUUGGUAAUAAGGGGCUUUGACUCUAGUAGGUGUGAAUUGUUGAUAAAUGCAAUCAAUUUUGGAUUUGGAUUGAAUUGAGAAAUGUUAGGGUUUCAAAACCCCUAAUUCUGUCCGGUUUUAGAUCAUAGAUAGAGGCCGAAUUGGACUUUGCUCAAAACAUGAAAGUUGUAGGUAUUGAUGAGUAUGAAGUGUCUGCAAAAUUUCAGGGCAUUUGGAGUCGUAUAGAGUGAGUUAUGCCAUUUUUACUGUUGCUGUUUUUGGUGAACAGAAUGUCCGAACUGCGAUAGUAAUUGCCUGUUUUGACUGGAAUUGGUUUGGAUUUUGUUGUUGGUGUCUUCUGAUGAAAUGUAGCUUGAUGUCUUAGCUUUCAUAUACCUUUGGAAUCAAUGCAUUUGGACCUGUGUAGGCUGAGAUAGACUGAUUACAGUUUUGUGUGAUUUGGGAACCUGCAAUUACGAUUCUGGGUUGGUUUUCUGCAUUUUUGACCUAGUUGUACUAGGAUUUGGACUGAGUGGCCUUCUACAUUGUUGUAGCCCUGUCUCUUAGCUUCUCGAUGGUGGGUCUUGCACCCUCAUCCGAUAAGCGUAGCGCAUUUUGUGCCAUUACCGCAUAAGGAGGACGAAAACUGUUUUUUUGUUAAGGACAAGUUAGUGCAUUGCUGAAUUUUCUGGUUUGCUAUAAUGCCUAUAUAUGCAUAGAAAACCUUAUUGGGAUUGUGAUUGGCAUUGCUUUAUGACUCGUUAUCGAGUCUCAUUGCACUUGUUUGCAUGUUCUAGGAAGUGACGGUGGUGCACGACGUUCGUUUAGCGACGGUGCUUGACACAUCACCUACUUGAGUGUGAGUAUACUACUCACUUGAAUGUUACAAUGUGGCUUUGCUAUAUGUGAUUUUGGUGCCUUGAAGGCUUAUUUGGCUAUUGGAAUGGAUUGAGGUGAGGGUGUACUUGACCGCCCUCACCCCUUGUGAUACCGUUAAUGACUGAUUACCGUUUUACUGAUAUACUGCACUUGCUAUAUGAGAUAUUGAAUUCACUUCAUGAAAAACUGAUUGGGUGUCGUUUGGAGGAGUAUCCAACGGCCUUACUGUACUACUGAGCUCAACCCCGUUGGUAGUCAAUUGAAUCGAGCCGGCGAGGGUUUGGUCGUGAAAAUUGACAUGCCACGGGGACUGUACUGAGGAAUCUUGUAGUAAUGAGACUCUUGGUUCCGGUAUACUCGAGUAUUACCAAAAGCUACUGAUUGGAGUGCGGGCCCGGUUGGGGUAUGUUUGGUGGAAGGAAUGGGAGUGAAGUGGGUUCUACGGUUGGUACUCAUGAACGUUGACGGAGAGUCAAUGAGAUUGGAUCAAGAAUAUAAGCGUGGAAAUGGGCUCUUGAGAGCCGUCCGUAUCCUUUUACCGACUUGUCUUAUUUCUUAAUUGCGUACUUGAAAUGAAAGUUUAAGGUUAAGUGAUCUUUGUUGAUUAUGUGAUAGUUGCUCACUGAGCUUUAGCUCACUCCGUUCCAUUUGUUUUCCUUACAGGAAAAAUGACUAUUUUGAGAAAGAAAGGAUCAUACUUGUUGGUUGCCAAAUUGAGCCAUGUAUAUGUCUAUUUUGAAUAGCCCUUUGCAUGAAACCCUAAUGUGUAUUGGGUUCACCCUUUUGAUUGACAAACCGAACAUGUGUAUCCAUGAGGAAUAGCUUUUGACAUGCCAAUGUGGUUGUAAAUGUUGAAUUUCAUUGUAUUUAUGUUUGGUUGACUUUCGGAUUGAUUCGGCUUGCAAACGGCAAAAGGAAAAUUUUUGACGGAAAGGCACUGGAUUGAAUCCGGCCAGGAAUCCGGCCAGAAACUGGCCGGAUUGUCGGCCGGAUUGCGUUGGAAAAUUUUGAAUCCGUGAACUUGCUCACUGGACAGUAUCCGGCCAAGAAUCCGGCCGCUAAUCCGGCCAGGUUCCGGCCGGAUUUUGCUGUCCAGGCCACUAUUCAUCGUUUUCGUUUUUUUUUAUUUUGAUUAUUUGAUACUUGUGGCUUGUCCGAACGCGCUUUUACUUUCCCGAAACGUUCUAGAUCGCGUGUAACUGCCCGUAGUCCUGGCGAGAGUUGGGCAGGCAGUCCGCUAACCCCUUUGGUUCGCCUUAGGGGAAAGUGGGGCUGUUACAAAAACCCUCCAGAUCUGCUUCCCCAACAAAGCCUUAUUAAAUGCUUCUAUAUCCUUGAAUCCUAAGCCACCUUCAGAUUUUUUCAGUGCCACUUUUUUCCAUGACAGCCAAUGCAUCUUGCUUUUCCCAUAUGUCUCUCCCCACCAGUAGUUAGCCAUAGAUGCAGUAAUGUCUUUGCACAGCUUCCUUGACAGUUAAAGCAGAACAUGGCAUAUGUAGGCAUUGCCAUAGAGACUACCUUCAGCAUUACCUCCUUACUUGCAGUACUUAGUAACUUAUUUUUCCAAUCCUGAAGCUUUCUUCUUAUGUUGUCUCUGAUGAACCCAAACACCUGAUCCUUUGUUCUUGUUAUCACCAUUGGGAGACCUAAAUAUUUCUCUUGUGUCAUUUCUACCAUUCCACCCAGAGCACUGCAUAUUUCCUUCCUUUGUUCCAGAUUCAUGUUUUUGCUAAAAAAUAUAGCUGAUUUAUCUAAAUUGAUCAGCUGACCUGAUGCCUCUUCAUACGUUUUGAGGAGCUUCAUAAUUUCAUUGGCCUGAUGAAUACUGGCUUUACAGAAAAUGAGUGAGUCAUCUGCAAAGAAGAGAUGAGUAAUGAUAGGCCCUUGCCUACUAAUUCUCAGCCCUUUUAUCUCAUUUCUUCCUUCUGCUUUUCUCAACAGGCUUGAGAAACCUUCUGAACGGAUUAAGAAAAGGUAGGGAGACAAGGGAUCUCCCUGCCUUAUUCCUCUCCCUGGUGUAACAAAGCCUUUGAUUUCUCCAUUGCAGUUGAAAGAGUAAGUGACAGACUUCAUACAACUAGUAAUCCAAUUGAUCCAUUGUGGACAGAAUCCCAUCUUCUGCAUCAUUGCCUGCAAAAAAUGCCACUCCACUCUAUCAUAGGCUUUAGCCAUGUCCAACUUGAUUGCCAUGUAUCCUUCAGUUCCUUGCCUUUUAUUUUUGAGGUAGUGCAUGUACUCAUGGGCUAUAUUUUAGUAUUUUACACUCGCGCUACGUCAGAAAAUGGAACAUGAACAUAGAUGAGGCAUUAAAAACUUAUGUUACGUUAAAUAUUAGGAGAAGUGAUAUCUGCACUCUUAAAUUAGUUUCUAAUAUUGUUUAGAGACUAUAUAUUUUUAGUGAAUAAAUUGAAGUGUAAGAGGUUAAAUGACAAGUGCGAGUAUCAAUUUCCAAUACCAGAGUAUUUUCCUAUCAUUCUACUAAUAAACUUGUCCCUAUCUAAACCUAGAGAUAUGUCCACCAAGUCCUACUUGGGUGACAGAGAUUUUCUUGGCUAGUAGAAAUAGACAUUGAUAAUUUGAGAGGUUAAAUGAGAAGUGCAAAUAUCAAUUUCCAAUAUCAGAGUAUUUUCCUAUCUUUCCACUAAUAGACUUGUCCCUGUCUAAACCUAGAGAUAUGUCCACCAAGUCCUACUUGGGUCAGGUUAGCAGAAAUCGAUGUUGAUAGUUUGAUACCAUUAAGUCCAAAAAAUUAGGUGGGCUUGGCUCUGAUCACUACUCACGGUAUGCCGUGAUACGUGGUUGUGAUCAAAGCCAAACUCAUCUAAACUUUUUAUAACAAAAAAAUCAUUAAUUAUAAAAGUUUUUUUUAAAAAUAAAAGGAUGCAAUCUUUGGUUGGUUUUCAAUGGAUUUUACGUAAAUCUGCAAGCUAAUUGAGGUCCCUACCAAAUAAAUGGAAAGAAAAUAGUCCGUACCAUGUUAUGUUAAUUUUCAUUGGGGGGGGGGGGUGUUUGACACCCACUCUACACAUGAUUCAUGGCUUAAUUAAUUUGAGUUUACAAUAUCCACUCAAAUCAAUCUGAUAUGACAGGAGACAAAUAAUGUAUCACUUGAUUUUUUUUAUGUGUAUAUAUCAUAUCUUGAUUUUUUUUAUGUGUAUAUAUCAUAUCACGAUGCUAUUGCAAAUUUUUGUUUAAAAAUUACUUGCAUAUACAAAUUCACCCGUGGCGUGCAAAUCUUUUUUUUUUUUUUUUGUCAAAUCAAUGUAGUAGCGUCUUAAUCCCUAGGGUUCUUAGUGAUAAAUCAAAUUGACAAAUUAGUAAUCUAACACAUCACUAAAGUUGUGCAAGUUGCAACCGAACCAUUUAAUAUUCUCAGACUGGCAACAUCAACUGGUUAAACUUUUAAUUCAAGUUUUCGCUAGGAGACAUAUUUUGCUUUUCUUCUACAGUUCAAAUAGAAAUUAAAUUUAAUUUAUCCACUACAGAUAAUCAUACAAACUGAGCUAACAAUAAAAAAGGAAAAUACUGCAGGAAGUACCAUCUAAAACCAAAGAGAUAAAGAGAUUCCGCAGCUCAGUCACAACAUUGCACUUUUACUAUGUUAUUGUAUAAUUUUAAGAAUUAGUGUUUUAUACACCAUUAGUGUAAAGUUUUUUUACAUUAAUAGGUAUAGAUAUAUGAUACAUAGACAAAACGUGAAUUUAAAGUUUGAAUAGUGAUGCCGUAGCAUUCAUCUAAACCUACUUGUGUAAAAAGAAAGAAAAACUUUACACUAAUUGUGUAUAAAAAUUAGGGAUAAUAUCAGAAACCUCCCUUAAGGUUUCUCUUAAUAUCACUUGACACCCUUGAGGUUUUGAAAAUAUUAUUUACCUCCCCUAAUAAUUAUAAAAAGACUAUAUUAACCCUCAUGGGCACAUAAUUCACAACAUAUCAAAUAAAUAGAGCUUAAAAAUUGAAAAAACAACAAACGAAAGUCAUUUUCUUCUUUUUUCAUUUUCUCUAUCAUUCUCUCUUACUCAUAUUUUUUGGAUGACUAUGCAAUAUUUUAUUUGUAAAUUAUAAUAAACUAAAAUUUGUUUAUCUUUUACUUUCUGUGAUUGUGAUAAAGUGGGGUAUGAUUUAUUUACUUAUUUUAAAUUAAUUUUUAUAAUGAUUGGUACAGUUUAAAGGUUUGGAUAAGGGUUGAGAAGAUGUUGGGAAAAAAUAGAAAAUUAAAAGAAAUCAGUUUUAAGCAUAUAUAAUAAAUUGAUGCAAGUGUAUUUCUUUUCAAAAACAAAACAAAUCGCCUUAAUUUCACGGCUAAAUCACUCUCACUGCCCUUUUUUUCAUCACAUGGACAUAGGGUCCCCCAUUCUCAAUAAGAGGAUGGUGACUGCCGGCGAAGGUGGUGGCCAGCGGUGAUGAUAGUGUGUGAAAAAGGAGAAAGAGGGUGAGAAUUUAUUUUACUUUAGUGCAUUUUUAAAUAUAUUUUUGAGGUUGUUUUUGAAGUCAUUGUGGAUUUCAAAUAUAAAAACGAAUAUUUCUAAGACAGUAGAAUCCCAACAGAGCCAUAUAUUUUUUAUUUUUAAAUUUAUAUUUUUAUAGAGUAUAGCAUUGUGAUGUGGUAGAACUACAAGAGAUUGUUUUUGAGGUGAUAGUUUUCUUGAAGUGAACAAAGUGAUUUAAAAAUAUUUUUAUUUAGCAAAUGAAAGGGUAGAUUAUGGUUUUUAAAAAUUUUGUUACACAAAUAACAAAAGUAAGGGAGGUAAGUGAUAUUUUUAAAACCUUAGGAGUGCUAGGUGAUAUUAAGAAAAACCUUAGGGGAAGUUUCUGAUGUUGUCCCUAAAAAUUAAUCCCUAAGUUUAAUCAUAGUGCUUGUAACAUAAAUUAGAUUAGAAAAGCACUUGCAUAGUUCUCUAUCACAUGCUUUAUGCUGAACUACUCUUUUGAGCAUAACCAUUAUGCUAAAAAUUUCCUGACAACAUAAUAGGAAACUUGUGUUUUAUGAUGAACCAACGAGUUGAUGAAAAAGAGCAGGUUCACUAUUUGGCAAGCUCGUGAAGGAAUAUUGGUCUCUUUAUCACUCUGCAGAAUUACAACGAAAUUGACAGCAGAGACAGUGUGUGAUCCUUUCACAUGGCUUUCUAGUCAAUACUACUCCUCAAACACAGCAACAAAAAUUUCCUUACAACUUCGUAAAAUACAAUAAAACUACCAUUUGUGGGUCAAUUUCACGAGUAUGCCUAAAAUACUACCAGAAAGUUAGUGCGAUAAUAGAUAUGAUAAGCUAUUUAUCAAAAACCAAUAUGUCCUAUUUUUUUCCCCCAAAAUUUUAGAAAGGGAUUGCUCCAGAAUUGUACGCUUCACUUUGAAGUGGUCGUUUAUCACGAUAAAGUUUGUGGAGGAAGUACUCCAAUUGAUUUCAUUUUCCUUCGUGUUCACACAAUUCAGAUGCAGAUAUUAUCUGGGCUGUCUAAGGGAAGUAGAAACUACAUGUUUUGUCCAAAAGAAUUCAAAUUAGAAAAGGAAAAAAAAAGAGAAGACCAUGAUUCUGGCAUUCCUAUUUUUAACCUUCAAGUACUCCACUCUUAAUUUUAGCUAAUCAAAAUGACUUGCACACUUCCAAGAUGGGAAGCACUUGGUUUGGCCUGGAAGAUCAAGAUCCUGCAAGAUGGACACGCUUUCAGGGCUUGCAUCCGGAGACUAAACUUGGCCAAGAACUAUAGUAUAAGCUCAGAAUUUCUUGUCAUAUGACUAAUCCUGUAUGGAAGUUUUAAACCCCCCAAAAAAAAAAAAAAAAAACUGUUUGGAAAUUUCUAAUGCUUCUAAGGCACUAAGGCUUGAAGAAAAACACAUAUUCUUGCCUAACUACAUGUUCAUAUUACCACGAAAUUUUUAACAUCCUCAUAUAUUAUUAGCAAAUCUGGUGCAACCCUAGGGAACCAAAACCUGCAUGAAAGAGAUACACAGGACUAGUUGCCUAGUUUGAGGAUUUCAAUCUAACAUGACCUCUAUUUCAAAGAGAAAAUUCUUUAUUGCGCAGUUCUUUAAGAUAAAUAUAUGCAUUCUUAAGUGUUCAUCAUAAAAGCAUUUCUGUUUUCCUUUAGAAACAAAUUUUAACAAGGUGUUUCAUUUGCAUUAGUAUAUACCACAAGGACAUUUUACAGCAAGUAUCUUGAAACUAUUUUACCAAAAGAAAAAAAUAAUAAAAAAAACCGUGAAACUGAAAUGAGGAAUCUGGAAAGUACUUUAAGGUCAGUAUGUUUUUCCUUUUGUAAAUUAGGACAGUAAAUUAACUUUUGUACCUAAAAUCAGUACUAAAAUCAGGACAGUAAAUUAACUUUUGUACCCAUUCUAAACGCACACCGCUUUCUUUUUCCUGGAAAAUGCAUAAUAAAAAUAUGCAUUCCUUUUAACGUGUAUGAGUCUCUACAUAGGUAUGUGCUGGUAAAUUAAAUGCCCAGCAAGGCUUCAACAAUUGAAAAUCAGGGAAGAUUAAUCUCUUGGACAGUACAAAGCUGUGCUGAUCAUGUUUUGCAAUGCAUUGCUAUCUGCGUAGUUGCAUUCUUUAGAAAACUAUUUAACUCUUCUUCUUUUUCUUACUUCAACUAAAGGAAAAGCACGUAGAUAAUAUGUGAGAGGCAGUGAAGGAAGAUCUCCCCUAGCAAAUUUGUCGCGAAUCAUAGACAGUGAAGGAAAACCAGUUCUUCCAAAGGAAGCGUUAUGCGAUUGAGGAUCUUCCCUGCCAAGAGUCGUAUCGAUCUCUUCCGUGAAGGAAUGAAGCAUUCCUAAAGUCUCCAACAAAACCAAUCGCUUCCCAUUUUUCCCAUCAAAAAAUUUCUUGGCCUUCUUCUCGAUACAAUUUUCCGUUACAAGCUUAGCUGAAGCAUAUACAUUUGAUUUAAAUUCCCGCAUCUCUAAUCUAAGACCAUAUUUAUCUGCACAUUCCAGCUCCUCAAGAGCUUUGUCAGCAACAUCCAUGAUGCCUCUCACAAAUUGGCAACAACGCCAAUCAUUGGAACGCCCGCACAGCUCUGCAAAGCUCAGCAAGAACUUUAGAUGUUGGCUGAGAAAAGCUGACUCAGUACCCACUUCACGGAAAAAGUUCAUGGCGUCUUUGAGUUCUCGACAAGACUGAAGCAGAUCCCUCACCGCCUCACGACAAGGUAGUAAGGCUGAAUUGUGGCGUAAAUCUUCCCAGGAGUUGUAGAAGUCAGAUUCAUCAAGAAAUUUCUCCAGCUUAUUCUCAUUUAAACCAAUCUGUUCUACUAAUUCUGGCGCUUCUCUUGAUAGCAUUCGUUCCCAGCCGUGACGAAUAUUCUUCCUAUACUCAUCAUAUAACGGUGAAGUAAUUAGUAGCUUAGUUCUCCGAGAAAAAUCUCCUAUCUCCUACAGGCAGUGCAAGAGGUGCAAUAUCUUCUACUAGUUGGUCCGGCAAAGUUGGGGGUCCUUCCAUUUCCAAUACUCUGAUGACCUCACCAACUUUUUCAGUAAAUAACUUGGCUUGCAAUAUCUUGAUAUACAGUAUUUUGAGUAGGAUAGUAGUUAACUCGUCCACCUCCUCCAGCAGACAAACAACUUCAUCAUUAACCAUCUUUCCCUCUGUCAAUCCUACCCGAUGUAAUCAAUGGUAAAUUAACAAAGAAAUCACCUUGAUGUUUAGAUUUAAACCUUUAAGGCUUUAACCGGACUGCAAUAAGUAAAUAUAAAAGGAAAAAAGAAAAAGAACAUACUAAUAUCCAGGACAAAGCAAAAAAGCUGGGGACUGACAACUAUCCAUGCGAGAAAGAAGCUACAGCUUACCAACAGCAGAGGAGAAAAGGCCUUUGAUGAUCGGAAUCACGAUUGCUAGAAGAAAGCCGGCGAUGAUAACUUGUGGUUAACGAAGCAGAAGCAGCCAAGUCGCCCCAAGUGCCAAAAGUCUUGUCUUUGAUUUCUUCUCAUUUUUCUUGAAAAAAGUUGAAAAAGGCUGAAUAUUUAGGAGUCCUAGAACAGUUCGACCUGCCCUGCUAAGGGAGUUAUUUUCUUUUUUGUUGUAACUAUAGCAUUUGUAUAACUUAUUUUAACUUAUUUUAAAGAAAGAGAGAGUUUAACCGACGGAGAAUUCAGUCAGAGGAAGUCACUUGAAAGUGACAACCACAAUUAAGUGAUAAAGUGAGAGGUCCAAGACUUUAAAGUACUAGUGAUGACCAACAGCCUAAGUGGCUGUUGGCCUGCUAAGGGAUUCAACAAUUUGGCAAGAGCUAUUACUAAAUCCAAGUAGUUUGAAUUAGUUACUGUAAAUAGCAUUUGUAUCGAUUUUUGUGUGAAAUAUAGUUCAAGUUUAUCUCUAUCUCUGUCUUUAUUAUUAUUAUUUUUUGAUAAAAAAGUUCAAGUGGCUCUCAAAAUUUUAGCCUCAUAAAGUGUUAGCCGUUCAACAAUUAUAAAAAAAAAAAAAUUGGCUCUCGAUGUAUCAAAAGUGCAAAUUGUUAGCCUUUUGUGAAUUCCAACUGUUUAUGAGUGGCGGAAUUGAGGGCAUUCUUGUCCAUGUAGGAAUAUAAAAAUCCAAAAGUUUUUCUUGAAUUGAAUUGUUAUCCAAAUAGAGUAUCAUGAGCUUAAAAGUAUGCGAAACUGUGAAAGUAUGACCUUUUUUCUCUGUUUUUUGUUCCCUCUUUUUUUAUCUUUAGCUAGUACACAAUUCAUGCAAGAGAAAUUGAUCUUCGUAAGGAUGCACUGUGCAACUUUUGUUUCUAAGCGCUUGAAUUUUGUGGGAUACUUUGACUGACCGUCAAAUGCUGGAGCUCUUAUUUUACCAAUUCUAGUUAGUGACUGAAUCCAAAACAAAAUUAUAGAAGGAACAUACAAAUGAUCAGGUGCAUAUUCACCUUCGAAAUCCCUUGUAUAAUGCUUCCAAAGUGCAUAUUCAUAUAAUCAGGUGCUUCAGAAAGCAACGAAGAUUUCUACAGAAAUCUCGAGCCGACAAUUGCUUAAUUUGGAGAGUGAUACAUGGGAAACACAGCAGAUGCUACAGCGUUUGCAAAAGAGAAGCAAUGGCAUAAGCCACCGGGACUGACUGUCUUAUCUCUCGACACACAAACACAGGUCUUUUUUUUUUUUUUCGGUAACGAUAAUAUUUGUAUAAUUUAAUCUCUCGACACACACAGGUAUUACAAACUGAAAAUGUAGAGCUUGUUAUUUCUUUCCAUGUUUAUUUUCCUGAAUGAGCAUAAAAUUGGGUACCAUAAUAUUGGUCAUCAAGAACAGACUAGGAUAGAUUAGAUGCUCCCAAGUCACAAGAAUUGGUUUUGAUAGCCAGCUAGUUCAGCAAGCUUCUUUUUAUGUCUUUGCUUUCCUCUGGGCUACUGAAUUGUGCUACUGACCAUCUGGUUAACUUGCAUGAACACAUUAUAAAUCAUAUUUUAAUUUCAUAUAUAUCAAAUUGUUGUAGCAUUUUUUUUUUUACAAAAACUUUUCAAAAUAAUUGUCCAAAUGGGCUCUUACCUAUUUAAGACAUCGAUGUUUUCUCUGGUUUUAGAAUUAGGUAACCUUCGCCUCUUCCCGAACUUUUCGCUGCCAAAAAAAAAAUCUAAUUAAAAAAUCGUCUAAUGUGGAUGCGGGCCACUGGUGAGUGGCAUAAGACCGACGGCGUGGUGCCAUUCACGAUCCGAAUUAGCUCCGCUCAAUAUGGGACAUUUGACUUCAAAAUUUUGAAAUCAACUAUUGAACAUCAAAUUGAGCUCAUCCGGUCCAAUCAUUGUAAAUUGGAUGAUUGUUUUGGUUCAACCGCACCAGCACUUAACCAUUUUAUGUGUAUAUAUUAUAACCAAAUACCCACCAACUGCACCUCACAUCACCCUGUUUUAUGUCUAUCAGCUUUCUUUUUUUAAUGGAACGAAAAUAAUUUGGGAAUAAGUAUUUAUUUUUUUUACGAGUUUCAAUUGGGUACUCAUUAAAACAUCUAAAUUACACUGAAAUUAUCAUGUGAAAAUAUAGAUUAACAUUUAUUACACCUCCUAAAUUGUAACAUUUUUUUAGAAUUAGUUAUACUUUUUUUUUUAAAAGAAAACUAAUAUCUAGUACCUCUUUUAACGAGUGCCCAAUAGACACUCGUCAGUCAAACCGUAGAAUUAGAUACCCAAAUCUUUUAACCCAAAAAAAAAAGUCCAACUCAGUCGGGGGGCCAAACAAGCUAUGUGUCAUUCAUGUCUGGGGGAUUAUAUUCUCAGAAGUGAUUUUUAUUGUGAAAAAACAAGAUAUAGCCAGAGUAGUGGACUGUAUUAAAUUGGGACAUCGUAAUUCGUAAUCUUUAUCACAGCAAUAUCUUACUUGAAAUACGGGAAUUAAUGAAAGUAGGUGCACUGGACAUUAUUUAAUGUAUUUAAUAAAUUCAUAGAGGCCCCUUUGAUUCUUGACUCAUGGAUGCAAAGAAACAAGUCCCCUAAGAGUUAGGAUAAAGUUUGGUACUAAAAAAAGCUUCGAUAAAGUAUUGACUGGCUUUACAAUACAAUUGCGCUACAUCAGAAAAUGGAACAUAAAUAUAGAAUAGGCAUUUAAAAUUUGUGUUAUGUUAAAUAUUGGAGUAUAUCCCACUUUUGCUGCUAAUAGACGUGUCCCUGUUUGGAGAUUUGUCAAGCAAUAAAGGUUGUCAAGAUUUUUUUUUUUUGGGGGUGGUCCUAGUUGGGUCACCGUCUGAGAUUUUCUUGGCCAGAAGAAAUCAAAUAUUGAUACCAUUAAGCCCAGAAGAUAUUCUUUUCAAUUAAAAAGAUGCAACUUUGGUUGGUUUUCAAUGCAUUUUUUCAUAAAUCUGCAAGCUAACUGAGUGUCCUGGGCAAAAAUUAAUUGGUCGCCAAGUUUUAGCAUUCUUAAGACUUUAAUGUUUUCUGUGAUUUUGGAACCAGGUAACCAUACCAUCUUUCUGAACUUUUCUUUACCAAAAACAAAAAAAAAAAAUUUAUAGCAGGACAAAAUUAAUAGGAGUUCGUGUUAUUUGAAAAAAUCUAGUUUUAUGUGGAUCCGAGGGACCGGUGGGUGAAAGAUCAAUAUCUUGAAAUCAAUAUUGACUUCAAUGUCUUGAAAUCAAACAUGUAACAUCAAAUUCCCUCCUAUGGAGAGGUUAUUUAGGGGCAGUUUCUUCUCUCUUAAAGAUUAGAGUUUCUUCUCUUCUAAAAAUUUUUAGUGAGAGAUUUUGUGGUUAGUCUACCUCUUAUAUUAGAUAUAAAUUUUUUGAAAUUUGGUUGUCAGAUCUAAGAUUUCUUAGAUCUACCAUGUCAAAUCUCACUUUAAUAUAUGAAUUUAAAUCAAUUCAUUAUCAGAUUUAGAAGGAAGCAUGCGGUAUAGUUGGAAGCAUACACGAAUGAUCUUAAGAUUAAAAAUAUUUUAUCUUUUAAUUUUUUUAGAAUUUCAAUGUUAUACGUUAUUGAUUUUCUAGAUCUGUAUAAUUGAUAUAAUUUCUGUCACUAACGCAGAUUUAAUAAAAUGAUGCUGUUUUUUUAUUAAAAAUAAAUGUAUCAUCAAGUUGAGCUCAAGAGGUUAAAUAUAUUUUUAGUGAGUAAAUUGGAGUGCAAGAGGUUAAAUAACAAGCGCGAGUAUCAAUUUUCAAAACCAGUGUAUUUUCCUAUCAUUCUGCUAAUAUACUUGUCCCUAUCUAAACCUAGAGAUAUGUCCUCCAAGUCCUACUUGGGUCACAGUAUGAGAUUUUGUCGGUUCGCAUAAAUCGAUGUUGAUAGUUUGAUAACAUUACGUCGAAAAGAUUAGGUGUGCUUGGCUCUAUUCACUACUCACAGCAUGCCGUGAUCCAUGGUUGUAUCGAAGCCAAACUCAUCUAAAUUUUUUGUUACAAAAAAAUCAUUAAUUACAAAAAGAUUUUUUUAAAAAAAAUAAAAGGAUGCAAUCUUUGGUUGGUUUUCAAUGGAUUUACGUAAAUCUGCAGGCUAAUUGAGGUCCCUACCAAAUAAAUGGAAAGAAAAUAGUCCGUACCAUGUUAUGUUAAUUUCCAUGGCUUGGAGGGGUAGUUUUGACACCCACUCUACACAUGAUUCAUGGCUUAAUUAAUUUGAGUUUACAGAUAUCCAUUCAAAUCAAUUUGAUAUGACAGGAGACAAAUAAUGUAUCACUUGAUUUUUUUUUAUGUGUAUAUAUCAUAUCUUGAUUUUUUUUAUGUGUAUAUACCAUAUCACGAUGCUAUUGCAAAUUUUUGUUUAAAAAUUACUUGCAUAUACAAAUUCAUCCGUGACGUGCAUUUGGAUUAGUCUAUGAGGAUAUGGAUCCAAUUAGACCGUCAGUUUCCUUUUCUUUUUUUUUUUUUGUCAAAUCAAUUUAGUAGCGUCUUAAUCCCUAGGGUUCUUAGUGAUAAAUCAAAUUGACAAAUUAGUAAUGUAACACAUCACUAAAGUUGUGCUAGUUGUAACCAAAGCAUUUAAUAUUCUCAGACUGGCAACAUCAACUGGUUAAACUUUUAAUUCAAGUCCAAAAGAUUAGGUGGGCUUGGCUCUGAUCACUAUUCACGGCAUGUUGUAAUUAGGGAUGGCAACGGGGCGGGGUUGGGGCGGGAGACCCCUCCCCCAUCCCCCGCCCCACUACCUAUAAACUCCCCCCACCCCCGCCCCAUCCCUCGCCCCCCACUCCCCCCCGCCCCGCCCCGCUUCCACCCGCAGGGCUAAUAAAAAUUUGUUAUAUAAUUUUAUUAUGGUUAAGUUUUAGCAAAUAAUCAAGUACUAAAAUAUUAACACAUCAUCAAAUUAUUAUUCAUUAUAAUUUUACAAUUGAAACUUAUAAAAACAAUCAAACAAAAAAUAUUUGAAUACAAUCCAACAUGAUGAAAUAAAUAUAACUAAAGUAGUCAAAUUUUCACUUUUGGCACAAAUACAAUCACUAAUUCAUUAUUGUGCUUGUGCUUUUUUAAAAAAAAAAUAUUAUUGUAUUAAGUGUAAUUAGGGAUUUAGUAUAACCAAUUAAUAAUUUGUAUUAGUACACAUAUAUAAUUAUUAGUAUAAUUAAUAAUAUCAAUUAUGUUAUAUAUACUAAUAGACAUUAUAUAAGACAUAUAACUAAUAAUAUCAUUAUCAUAAGUUUGUAACUAAUUAAAUUAUAUAUUAUAUAUAUAAUUAUAUAUAUUUAUUUUUUUAAAGCAGGUGGCGGGACGGGGGAUGGAGCGGGGGUACACUCCCCCGCCCCCCGCCCCGUUUCUAAGCGGGCGCCCCCGCCCCAACCCCUCCCUAUUAACCCCCCGCGGUCACCCGCCCCCAUUGUCAUCCCUAAUCGUAAUUCAUGAUCCGUGGUUGCAAUCAAAGUCAAACUCAUCUAAAUUUUGUAUUAUAAAAAAAAUUAUUAAUUACAAAAGAUUUUUUUUAAAAAAAAUAAAAGGAUGCAUUCUUUGGUUGGUUUUCAAUGGAUUUUACAUAAAUCUGCAGGCUAAUUGAGGUCCCUACCAAAUAAAUGGAAAGAAAAUAGUCCAUACCAUGUUAUGUUAAUUUCCAUUGCUUGGAGGGGUAGUUUUGACACCCACUCUACACAUGAUUCAUGGCUUAAUUAAUUUGAGUUUACAGAUAUCCAUUCAAAUCAAUUUGAUAUGACAGGAGACAAAUAAUGUAUCACUUGAUUUUUUUUUAUGUGUAUAUAUCAUAUCUUGAUUUUUUUUAUGUGUAUAUACCAUAUCACGAUGCUAUUGCAAAUUUUUGUUUAAAAAUUACUUGCAUAUACAAAUUCAUCCGUGACGUGCAUUUGGAUUAGUCUAUGAGGAUAUGGAUCCAAUUAGACCGUCAGUUUCCUUUUCUUUUUUUUUUUUUGUCAAAUCAAUUUAGUAGCGUCUUAAUCCCUAGGGUUCUUAGUGAUAAAUCAAAUUGACAAAUUAGUAAUGUAACACAUCACUAAAGUUGUGCUAGUUGUAACCAAAGCAUUUAAUAUUCUCAGACUGGCAACAUCAACUGGUUAAACUUUUAAUUCAAGUUUUCGCUAGGAGACAAAUUUUGCUUUUCUUCUACAAUUCUAAUAGAAAUUAAAUUUAAUUUAUCCACUAUAGAUAAUCAUACAAACUGAGCUAACAAUAAAAAAGGAAAAUACUGCAGAAUGUACCAUCUAAAACCACAGAGAUAAAGAGAUUCCGCAGCUCAGUCACAUCAUUGCACUUUUACUAUGUUAUUGUAUAAUUUUAAGAAUUAGUGUUUUAUACACCGUCAGUGUAAAGUUUUUUUACAUUAAUAGGUAUAGAUAUGUGAAACAUAGACAAAAAGUGAAUUUAAAAUUUGAAUAGUGAUGAUGUGGCAUUCUUCUAAACCUGCUUGUGUAAAAAAAAAAAAAAAAUUUUUACACUAAUUGUGUAUAAAAAUUAAUCCCAAAUUUUAAUCAUGGUGCUUAUAACAUAAAUUAGAUUAGAAAAGAACUUGCUAUUUCUCUAUCAUGUGCUUUAUGCUGGACUAGUCUCUUGAGCACAAUCAUUAUGCUAAAAAUUUCUUGACAAUAUAAUAGGGAAACUUGUGGAGUUUGAUGAACCAACGGAGUUGAUGAAAAAGGGAAGGUUCACUAUUUGGCAAGCUCGUGAAGAAAUAUUGGUCUCUUUGUCACACUGCAGAAUUACAACGAAAUUAACAGCAGAGACAGUGUGUGAUCCUUUUACAUUGCUUUCUAGUAAAUAUAACUCCUCAAACACAGCAAUAAAAAUUUCCUUACAACUUCGUAAAAUGUAAUAAAACUACCAUUUGUGGGUCAAUUUCACGAGUAUGCCUAAAAUAAUACCAUAAAAUUAGUUAGUGCGAUAAUAGACAUGAUGUGCUAUUCAUCGUAUUAAUUGCCUUUUCUUUUCUUUUUUGGUACAGGAUAAAAGGACAAAUUGUGAAUGACUAUCUUGUAGCUAUCUACAUGUUCUGAAUGAAGGAUAAUAAUAUCUUCUUUUGUGUGAAAAGAAAAAAAUGAUAAAUCUUAAGGAUGCAUAUGCUAAGUUCUAUGAUUCCCCUAAUGCCAAAUAUUUGACAGAAACUAAGCCAACUAGUAAUUAAAAUAAGUUGAUCUUGAAGGUAAAAUGGAGGUAUCAAAAAUAUUAGUUUCCUAGAAGUUCUAUGAAAAUUUCCCUGUUUAAGGUAAAAAAAAAAAAAAAGAACCACGUUUAUUCAUCUACAUAGCCUCAUCAUAACUUCAAUAUAGAAAUCAUUUGCCAUGUGUCAUCAAUUCAUGAUAGCAUGUGUUGUAUCAGUUACAGGACUUUUGUGCAAACUUUAGCUUCCUAUAAGACAUUUAUGAUUCAAUGAUUUUGGUGCACUCCCAAUAAAGAUGUUCAAAGUAAUUUGAUUCAGCUUCGUCUUGAUUAGAUCGAGGAACUCAAGCCAAUAUGCGCCAACUCCCGAGUUGGACUUUCUGGUCACUUCAAUGUUGUCCUAAUCCAAAUCUUUACACUAGGAAAAAGAGUUCAACCAAAAAAAGAUUGCAGUAUUAAACUGGCCUCUGAGAGAGGAAUCGAGACAUAAAGUUUUCAAUACGUAGAAAUUCAUUAAACAACUGAUAAUAUUUACAUCGAUCGAUUAUUGGACCACACCAUUAACAUAUGAUAUUAUCAUAACUCAUAGGAGCAAGCACACAAUAUAUUUCAGGUUUGCACAUGGUACAACCUUCGUCGAGCUUACAUUUAUUCAAUACACUAACUGGAGAUCUUGGAACUUCCAAACACACAUGUUCGUGCCAUCUAUGAUGACAAUUUAGCACCCCUUCAUUUGAGAUGGUGAGUCUCAAUAUCCUUAGUGACAUGAAGGCAAAAGUCCAUCAGAGUAUUUGGAUCUGGGAUAUUGGGAUUCUUUUUCUCAUACUCCAAGGUCCAUGUAACCAAGUUGCUUUUGCCAUGGGUAUCAACAUGAACUGUUAUGAUGAAGGUCUUGUAUAACUCCAGCAGAUCUCCUUCAAUCACCUUGAAUGUGAUUGACCUCUUUGCCUCAUCUAUGGCCUGGAUAACCUCUUUGGCCACUUUCUUUUUUCCAUCUAAAAAAAUUGAAGAAUUGAAUGAGAAGAGUGUGAAGCUCUAAAGAUAAAAAAACAAAAUUCAGUAAUUAUUAAGGCCAAGAAAAAUAAAUUUUCCUAGUGGCCGGCCUCACAACCAAAGAUUGUUAACAGUUGACCUUUACUUGAGCCUUUCAAUUUUAUCUUUCAAUUUUUUCUAGCAGGUGAUGAUGAAAUUUAAGAAAUGACGAGGGAAGAAGGACUUGAACCAGGCACCAAGAUCAUUUGUGAGUUGAAAACUUUGCUCAAAUAGAUCUAAGCAUUAUACAUGCAUGCAGAAUCAUAAACAAGAAAAGAUGGAAAUAUUUGAAAGGGACAACGAAAAGAAGGGAAAUCAGGAGGAAAUUCAGAUACCGUGAGUAUAAUUCCAGAAGAUGACAGAUCCGACGGUUCCCCAAUUACCAUCAUGCAGCUCACAACCUUGAAUAUGAGUAGGGCUCAUGGUAGAUACAUGGUGUGGUCUGUGCCUAAAAAUUUCAUGAAACACAUCUCCAUCGGAUUUUAUCUCGAUUUGGUUAACGAGCUUACCAGUAAGACUCAUUUCUUCUAGCUUUUUUUAGCCAAGAAAAUAUGACUACUGAAGGAAGAGGGGUGAGGGAAAGCUAAAGACUGAAGGGCUUUUUAUAGUCGAGUUGUCUGCAUUAUUUAAACGCCAAAACGUCAUAGUGUACUAAGGGCCAGCUGUGUUUGUCUCGUUUGAGUUAAAGCUUGAAUUGGCUUAAGGAGCCAUUUGGUUUGAAUUUCACAGUUACUGUCAUUAUCUGUAUCAUAGGGUGAUCAAUGAUAAUAGAUUUUGAUGAAAACCCAUAGUAUAUUUAUAAAAUGGAUUUUAUAAUUUAUAAUUUAUAUUAUUUCUUUUUUUUUUAUCCAUUUGUUGGAACCAGUAGAAACGAUGGCAUUUUUUUCUUAUUUUUACAUUUAAAGAGAAAAAGAUAAAUAAUUAAAAUGGCAUUUUGUUUUCCAAUUUUUAUAUUUAAGGAGAAUAAGAUGGGUAAUGAAGAUGAUUUCCUAGUGAAGGCGAUUAAUCACAAAACCCAAAGAAGAGGCCUAUCAUUCCCAUUAGCCUCAAACAAACAUCAUAUAUGGGUAUAAUUGAAUUUGAAACUCGUGUUGAAACCCAAUUACCAAAAAUCCCCUAAUUUUUUAAUGGAUUGGGUUGUGCGCCUUAUGUAAAGACCAAAAAGCCUCAACUAGGGUAUUCACGGUAAAUGUUUUGUUGCAAAAAUUUCAAUAAUGAAAAAUGUAACUGACAAAAUGUUUUUCGUGCAUUACAUUUAUCUACUUCUCAUAACAUAUUGCAUAGACAUCAUUAGGAGUGCAAACGAGUCGAACCGAAUCAAGUUUCGGCCUAAUCGAGCCAAGGCUCAACAUAAUUUUACGAAACUCAAACUCGAGUUCGAACUCGAGCUCGAACUUAAAAAAUAAAAAAUAAUUUUAUUUUUAAAAAAUGAAUAAAAUAAUAAAUUUUAAUAAAUAAUAAAAUAUUAGGGAUAUUUAUAUGUAAUUUUACUAUUAAAAUAAAAAAUACAUAUAAUCGAGCUCGAGCCUACUCGCGAAUUAAUGAGUUACCAUUCAAUGGGGGUAUUUUUGGAGUUAACCCCAUUAAUGAGUUAACUCCAAAAAUACUCAACAAAUAAUGGUAAUACUUGGGCAAUGAUUAGGAUCCCGUUGGGACCCAUAAAGUGGAAAUACAUUUUUUUUUUUUGGUAUCAUCAAUGUUGUUAGAUCCGGACCGGAUCUGUCGGUUCGAUUGGUCCGACUGUGAAUUGGUCUUUUUUUCAAAUUGGUUUGUAGUAUAAAACUGAUUUGAUAAAAAACCUAUUGAAAUCGCAAAAAAUCAACUAAACCAAUGACCCAAUUCGACUGGUUGAUCCAGUUCUUAAACUUUUCUUUUUUCUUUUCCCUAAACAUAAUUUGAGUUACUUAAAUUGUAAUAUUUUCAUUUAUUAAUAGGAAUAAAAAAAGUUACCCAUUUAGUGUAAAUAUCAAAAUCACUCACUUUCUUAAAUAAUUUUUAAAUCAAGAUAUUUUCAUUCCUAUGAUCUCAUUAAUUUAGCAUCGUGAUUCCAACUUGUAUUAAUUUGUUUUAAUUUGAUUUUUCAAGUAGUUUUGGAGAAUGGGCAUAUUUUAACCAUGAAUUUACAUUUUUAUAUAUAAUUAUUAGGUGUAUAUUUGAUUGCAUGUGUAAUAUUUUUGGAACAUUUUUCAUGAUUGGCCAAAUAUAACCAAGAACUUAAUUUCAAUAUUUUUGAAACUUAUAAAAAUAUAUAAUAAUUAUAACAUCAUGCUGAUAUCAGCAGAUCUUUGAGAACGGUUCAAUUGAUCUAACCAGUUGACCCCUGACCAAAUAGUUUAGCUGAGUCGCUAUCGGGUCCGAGUUUAACAAAAUUGGUUAUCAUUUGGUGGUGCAUGAUUUACCAAUCCAUCAACCAAUAUUACGAGCACUACAACUAAAGUACUCUUAUUUUCUUGGCAUGCAUUGCAAUUGCACUUUUAUUUUUUUUGUUUUGUUUUUGGGAUAUAAAUUAUCCUUAAAAGUUGUACUUUAUUCUAGUUGGAGUAAAAUAUCAUCAGCGCUAAAAAAAAAGCUUUUUGUUCUCUUUUUCUUUUUUUUUUCCCUCUUCCCCACGAAAGCAAGUAAAUUUAUAUUUGAGAGAGAGGCAACAAAAUUAGACAGGUUAAAUAAAUCCUUAGUUUUCUUUUUUCUAUUUAGAAUGCUACUGAAGCACACAAGUGAAAAUCUCCCUGUAUUAUUCCAUUUCUUAUUUUUAUUCAACUUAGAUCUAGGGCAAUGAAAUCAGAGAUAUGAAAAGAUACAUAUAAAAAACCAACAAAGGAAAAUAGAGGGAAAGACAAACCUUGCAUUAUGAAAAAAGUAAACAAAUAAUAAUAUAAGAACAAUAAGAAAAGGAAUAACAAAAUAGAAGGCUUAUUGGACUUUUCAUAGAUGUAUUGGGUUAAUAUUAAUAAUUUUUUUUCUACAAUAGAUGAUUUGACAUUUGAGCUACUAGUCUUACCCAGAUAAGUUCCAAAGUAGGUUAAUUUUGUAUAUUAAGUAAUUUUACUUAAUUAACUCCAUGUGUAUAAUUUGGAACCAAUGUAACCGUAACUGUCUGAAUAACAAAAUAAUCACAUUAAUGUUUAUAGUACAGUGCAAUCUUAACACAUGAUCGGCAUUCUCCAUUAUUUUCACGAGUCGUGCCAACAGCACUAGGCACUCCAUCUUUUACUAUCCCUGCAUUUUCGUGAAUUUUGUCCAUGAAUAAGAAGAAAGCAUGGUGUUGGAAAUUAAGAGUUAAAUGUCAAUAUAUAGCUAAAACCUCCAGGAUGAGGACUUUAUGUAAGUAAUGAAAUCGGUUUUAUGCAUGUAAAAAUACCAUAACAACACUUAGGCAUAAAUUAUAAAGCCCUCGUUUUAUUUAUGUUGCACAAAGAUUCUUAUAACAGCUGAUAGAUUGGUUACAGAAUUACUAACAUAUCAAAACAGUACAACAAGCAAACACACAAUUACUUAAGUCUUCCACAUUGGACAUAUACCACAACCUUUUUCAUCAAGUUCACAUCCUUCACAACAUAUGCUUACAAAUAUAGCAACUUGUAAUCAAAUUUAUGCUUCAUAUGAUCAUGAUUCGGAAAUCAAAGGCCCUUCAUUUGAGAUGGUGAGUCUCAAUAUCCUUUGUGAGUUUGGUGGCAAGGUCUACUAUAGUUGUUGGAUCAGGGACGCUCUGAUUCAAUUUCUCGUACUGGAGGGUCCAUGUAACCAAGUUGUUUUGGCCAUGAUUUUCAACCUGAACAAUAAAGGUGAAGCUCUUGUACAACUUCAACAGGUCUCCUUUAAUCACCUUAAAUGUGACUGACUUCUUUUCCUUAUCUAUAGACUCAAUUAUCUCCUUCGCCACCUUCUUUUGUCCAUCUGAAAAGACGUGAAUAGUGGAAUUAAUUAACCGAUACGUUAUGUAUUGGAUUUCGAAGCCGAAAGGCAUAAUUUUAAACGGCCAAAGUCUCGCCAGCGCAACUUUAAGCAACGUAGACUUGUUGAGUAUUUAAGAAUACAUAAGCAACUUAUAGAGCAAAAAAAAAAAGUAUUAAAAUUGUAAUAAGUAAAACGAUGGAAAGAAUCAGAAACUUACCGUGAGUAUAUGUCCAGAAGAUGAUAGAUCCUACUGUUCCCCAAUCACCAUGAUGCAGCUCACAACCAUGAACGAUAUCAGGGCUUAUGGAGGACAUUUCAUGUGGUUUGUUUUUGAAGAGCUCAUGAAACACAUCUCCACUGGACUUAAUUUCGAUUUGGAAAACCUGUUUACCAGUUAGACUCAUUUCUUCAGAGAUCUAUUAACCAAGAAACGAAGACUGAUGAAAGCAAGGGGUUAAAAAUGGUUUAGGCAUGAAUAAUUGAACAUGAAUUUAUAUCAAUGAGAAAAAUGCUGUUUUCUUUUCUUUUGUUUGCAUAUCGCUUUCGCACUAUCUUACUUCAUAGAUCAUGCAGUAGUGCAAUGUACUAUCAUUUAUUAAAUAUUCUGACUAUUUUAGAAUAUAAAAUUUAUAAGGAUAUUGUUAUAGAAUUAGUCUGGGCGUUAUUUGAUUCCAUACAAGAAGUUUUGCAAUCCGUACUGUUGGUGAUGUAUAUUUUUCCCUUUAAUCCAAGUAAAACAUACAAAGGAUGCUUCUUCUUGCUUGGGAGAACAAAAAGUUCUAAAGAGGGAAAAAAAAAGAGAGCAAAAGCCCUUUUGCCAUCCCCAGUUCGGAAGUCUUAGAGCUGCCUAUGGAGCAUGGAAAAUACUUAGAUUAGCAGUGCAGCCAUCAAAGAUCCAUAUCACCAAUUGUGACUACUUACAUGGCAACAUGGUUUGUAAAUAAGCUCAUAAAUCGUGGAUCAUUCAAGAAUUUUCCAUAAAGUAUAGAGGCUUUGCAUAGGCGAGCAGUAAAUCCUAGCCUAUUAAAUUUGGACAGGAUAUACUGUUCAUAUGUUUAAUUGUAGCAAAUAUAUCUUUCAUAAGUACUUCAUUUAGGUAAUGUGUAUAUGGUAUGGCCUAUGGGUACUAAAAUUGCCAUUUGUAUACUUUCAUGAAUUAUUUUCAACUUUGGUGACGCUCAUUCAAUUUGUAAACGAUUUUUAUGAUCAAACAAGGUAACUUUUGUUUCGAAGAAAUAGAUCUGCAAUCUUACUAUAAUUCUUUGGUCAUACUUAAAUUGUUAAUCUAGCAUAGGGACUUUUUAAUGUAUAAUACAGGCUUCAAGAAAUUAUGAACAAUAAAAUACAAGUGAUCGAAACAAAUAAAGCACUUACAAAAAAAAUAAGUUAGGGCAAAAUACACUUUACCCCCUUAUGGUUUAUCGAUUUUUUAUAUAACCUCCAUAUGGUUUCAAAAGCUAUACAUAACUCCCUCAUAAUUUGGAUUAAAAUAUCAAGAUGACGGAAUUUGCAUACCACAAUGGAGCCAACUAAAAUGUCAAAAGUAUUCCUAUGUAAGGUUAAAAAUUAUUUAUUAACUAUGAGGGGAUUAUGUAUAUAUUUUGAAAAUUAUAAGGGAGUCAUAUGGUAAAACAUAAAACCAUACAAUGUUAGAGUGCCAUGCAUAUUAUGUUUACAUAUUUUAGUCACUUCAACCAUUUUAGUUUUAUGGGUUCCGUUACAAAUGAUCAUUUUCGUUACAUUGAUACUUUAAUCCAAACUAUAAGGGAGUUAUAUAUAACUUUUGAAACUAUAAAGAGGUUAUGUGAAAAUUUACUAAACCACAAGGGGGUAAAGUGUAUUUUGUCCAAUAAAUUAAGUAAAAGUUAAAUACGUAAAAUACUUAGAAGCCAAGAAGGCUUUUUGUCUAACGAUUAAGAUUGAAACUCUAGAAAUUAGAAAUCUUGAAUUAAGAUCUCUCAUCUCUCCCUCACGUCUUAAUUCUCACCCCUCCUUAGAUAAAAAAAAAUUUUAAAUAUAAAAUAUCAUUCCGUGGAAGUAAUUUGUUUGGAGCUCAUUCUUCCCAUGAUAGAGUUGAGCUUGUGAAUCAGAGAUGCAUUACUUCUUUACUCUCCCCAACACCUUAUUGUUUAUCUAUAACAGUCAUGAGUCUUUAUCUAGAGACAACAGGAAGAAAGACAAGUUAGAAGAUUUGCCAAAAAUGAAUAUUAAACCUUGUAAUAUUCAGCAAAGGGUGCAAAAUAUUCAGAGAUGCAUGAUUGACAAUUACAUAACUUGUAAAUGCAGAAUUCCAUUAAUACGUGUGUACAUUAAUACGUAUGUAUUAUCAGUAAACUCAUAGUUAAACAAAUAAAGUAACAAUGUGUCCACCAUCCUCAGAUCUUUCUGGGCCACAACAUAAUCGCCCCUCGAAUAUGAUGGAUUACGAGUUAUUAAUUAGUCUUAAACUGUUUAUGAGUAUAAUAAUAUUCUCGUAGAAGUUAUUGUGCAUUAGGAUAUAAUUAUCCACUCAAUUUACUGUCAAUUGAAUUUUCUGCUUUCCAAUUACUUAUAGAAUUUACAUACACAAACCACAAAUAAUUUGUAUAAGUUUGUAGCGAUAAACAUUAAGGUGCCUCGAUGAUUUGGCCACUCUUUGGAAAGAUGAUCUUCAAGAUAAGAGAGUACAGCCUUAUUGCCAUUGACUAGUCAUGAUCACCAAGAUGUACAAUACAUGGGCUCUUAUUUAAUUGAUGACACGAUCCACCAGCUUUAUAUGUCAGUAUUUUUUUUUUUUUUUUGUGGCAAACCCCGUGCACGGGGUGGAAUGCCAGUCCAACUUUUAUUAUGAAAGAUAAAAAAUACAUAACGAGAGACCACACCUUACCUCCAGCCUAUGAGACCGAUCAGACAAAGUUACCAUCCGUGUAUACCCCUACGAAAACUAGGACAACCCCACCUAACUAAAGUAACAUGGCAAUGAGACCGAUUAUAUGCCGGUCCUUCAAAUUAAUUAAUGUACCCAAACAAUUAAACGGUAGUUGCCAGGCAUACAUUUGUGGCUAGUAUAGAUGGCAAUGGGUUGGCUGAAAAUCUGUGAUGAAUAUAUAUAUAUAUAUAUAUAUAUAUAUAUAUAUAUAUCCCAAUUACAAUUUGUCGAUACAUGCCUGCACAAGUUGAAAAAAUGCGAGAAACCAAAAGGAAAAAAAAAAAAAAAUUUUGUGUAGGAGACCAAAAUCAAGACACAUAAAUAAAUUUAAAAAAAUGACUUUCAAGGAACAAAACUCUUUUCCUAAUGCAUGACACCUGAUAGAAAAUGACUUAUGUAUUUGUGCCGCUUGUCCAAGGAAAAAAUAAAACUAGGUAAGAGAGGGGCAAGACAAGGAAAAAUUUCAUGAUAUAUCAAUACUUCUGCUAAUGGGCACAGCAGGGCAAGGAUCUUAAGAAUGAAUAUAUGAAUUCCAAUUCAAUUAUUCAAAAAAAAAUGCUAGACUAAAUCGAAAUGAGACCUCAUAGUGUAAUAAUAUCGGUCAGGCCCUGAUUCUCAAUAUCUAUCUCUUCAAUUUACUCUGCAAACUUAUUAAACCACAUUCUUAAAAAAAAAAAUCCAUGGCCCGCAAUUUUAUUUGAUAUAUUCACAAUGUCAUUUUUCCCCUCUUUUACUGGCUUUGGGCUUCCUUUUUUAUAUAUUUUCUUGACAACAACUCUUAUCACACGUAUCAUGGCAUUUUUAUUGAGCUUGACGUCAAAUAAAUAUUCAUCAUAUCCUUUCAUUGGAUGCGACGGCAGAGAAAUUGACUCUAUAUUAUUACUUCGUGCUUGAAGACGGUAAAAUAAUAAGAUUUAGAUAAGCACAAAAAAAAAAAAAGGAGAAGUUGGUCUACUACUAAACUUUGAAAUUAUCAUUCAUCUCUUGAAUUGUAACACUUUCACAAUAAAAGUUUUUAUCCUUUUGGACAAAGAAUAAUGCCACACCAACUUCUUAUCUGUUGCACUUAAGGCGCUAAAUAGACGAACCCAAAAAAUAAAUGCUAAAUGAACGUAUUUUCUAGCUAUCUAUAUCUAUCUCCAUGUUAUUAUGAUAUCCAACAAUUUGCAAUUGUGAGGUUAGCUACAGCCUGUGGUGCGUAUUUUUUUGGCACAAUUGGUGGUUUCCUUUAUUGUCACUAGUCAUAAUAGAAAAAACAACUCACUCAUGUUUGGAUAUAUUAUUACUUGAAAAAAAAAAAUUAUACUUGUAUCAGAAGCACAUUUUUUCAUUUUAUUUUUAUCUUUCGAAUUUUUUCUUUAUUUCACAAACUUUACAUACAUUGUUAUUAAAUUCAGCCCAUAUAUCAACCCAAUUCAGUAACUAGUUCAAUGGGAUAUUGGUUCAACCCAGGAUUCACUGAUUGACUCGAUGGUUGUAUUAUAUAAUAAAAUAAUGUAUUUGGAUUAUUAAAAAUAAUAUAAUCAUUUAACAAGUUGUUGAACCGCCAAUUUUUUGAGAUUUUACGAAUUGAAUUGAUAAACCAUUGACUAGUUAAUGUGCUCCUCUCUUAAUUGAUCUAACUACUUACCUAGCCCGAUUAGGUAGCUAGUUCACCAAGUUGUCUAGUUGAACCUAGGGGUGUAAUCGAAUCGACUCGCGAGCAGCUCGGUCAAAAAUUUGACUUGAACUCGGGUUGACCGAGUUCGAGUCUAAUUCGAGCGCCUCUAUAAAGCAAACGAGUCGAGUUCGAGUAUUCAGAAGCAACGCUCGAGAGCUAGUCGAGCCUUAUUGAGCUUUUUAAUUUUAAUUCUUUAAUAUAUUAUUAUUAUAAAAUUACUCUUAUAUCCAAAAGAGUUAUUGAAUUUACGAAAUGUUUCAAGUCGAAUAAAAAUUUUAAAAGAGCAAUAAUGUCUUUUCACUAAAAAAUUAUCAAGAAAAUGAAAUUUUGUAGCACGAUAAGACUCGAAUUGACUCGAACCCAUGCGAGUCGAGCUCGAGCUCCAAUAAUACUACUCGCUCGAGCUCGAGCACCUUUCUUGUAUGUCGAGUCGAGGUCGAGUAUGGCACUCGAUUACAUCCCUAAUUGAACUGUCGAAUUGUGUCAUGAUUAUAUCAUAAAAUGUACUAUAACAAUUAUUUCAAAUAAUGCCUUCGUCAAAUCUCCAAACAGUAACUUUGGACUGACUUUCGAACCCAUUGUUGUUGAAGCAUACAAUUCGUUGUAGGAACUAUCCCAAAAAACAAAAAGAAGGUUGGAACUAUUAAUUCAGGUAGGAUAAAUCAAACAAAAACAAAAGUAUAGAUUUGGUCCUCGUAGGCAAGAUUAGAUAUGACUGGUAAUUGCUACAGCUACCGAAACAUCAAUAGAUAGCAACAUUUCAAGAAUUGAUAGUACAGUCCUAUCAAUUGAUUACUAGGACCGUCGAUUGAUAGUAAAUUUUUCCGUCAUUUUCGUAACAUGAUAAAAAUUUUCUACACAGUAUACAGUAAAAGAAAAACUCCAAUCUAGGAGUCAAGACUACUCGUGAAAUAUGUAGUACAAGAAUUUGAAGUUUUCUACUUUUAGCUGUCGGAUUUUUGUUUUUUACUAUGGUGCAUUUGAAUUGUAUGUUAAUGCAGGGUCAGUUAGCUAGUCGUGAACAACAUAUAAUAGUACGUAAGGUAUUUGGACCCUACGUCUGAUGUAAGGGCCAAAUUGGUGAGUAAUAUCUAAGUGCCUCUGUAAGUGUAAGUGUAAGUGAUCUAUAGCUUCAAGAGUAUAUCCUAAUCUUUGAUGAUGAUUGGAGUCGAAAUUAUUUAAACUUUAUUCUUACAAAAAAUGAAACAUAAGAGGAAAAUAUUUUUCACGAAAACCUGACUUCUUUUUGUAACGAGCUUUGUGAGGAAGAACUAAUUGUUCUAUAUGGCGAAGUUUCCAUUACGCCAGUGCAUUAUGCACCACAACCUAAUUUAUGAUGUGCUUCUGCUUCUCAUUAUCUUGGUCUAAUUCUAUUUUUUCUUCACGAGAUAAGAAAAACCAUUCCCAACGUAGACAUGAAAUAAAGUUAAAUUCAAAAUGAGUUACUAAUAUGUUUGGUUACAAUCUUUUAAUAUUGAAUCGAUUUCACCUUUAACUUAUUUUAUGUUGUUUUAACAUUGUCUGACUUAGAUGCACGAUUGUAAUGGAGGAAUUGAGAGUUGAAAAAAAAAAAAAAAAAAAAAAAAAAAGGUUUCGCUUACCGAGUUUCUCUUCAGCUAAUGGAUUAGUACCCAAAAAAAAAAACUUCACUAUGGGCUUUUGGUUUUUCGAUUGGCCGUUACAGUAUGUACCUGAAAUUAUGUACCUUCCCAAAAAGUCCAAAUCCUUCACUCUCAUGGGCUUUACCUGGGAUUGUUUUUAAAUUUUUUAACUUCCUUGCGUGGAUACUGAAAAAGCAGUAAAGUACAAAUGAAGCAUCUUAAGACCAUAGAGGUAUGGCCGUUAACAAAAGAAAUUCGAAAGAACAUAUCAUUUUAGGUUUGAAAUAGGGGUUUACAUGAGUCUACUUAAACUCAACAUGUUAAUGUUCAAAUUUGAUUGAUUAGUUUAUUUGCCAUACCGAACUCAAAUAAGCUUUUAUCAUACUGAGAUUGAGUAUCUUGAAUUUUCACAUGUAAAUUUUAAGUUUUAUACUAAUUGAGUUAGAUUCCAAUUGAAGUCGAAACUUCUCUGAGGAAAAAAAUUAUUUAUAUUUGGAUUGAUUAGUUGGUUACUUAAAUUCAAAUGAGUUUUUACAGUGCCAAAUUUGAUUUGAAUAUUGAGUAGGUAAUUGUGGAUGAUGCAACGCUUGGAAUAAUACUUGACGAUAUUAGAAAACUUAGGCCCUAUUUGACAACUCAAAUCAGCACUUAAAAUUAAUAAAUUCAGAUUUUAAUAUAUUCAAAUGCAUUUAAUAACAAAAAAUAGAACUUUUGAAUUAAUUAAAUGACACUAAAUUUUUUGGGUAAAACUUGCUCUGAAAAAAUAAGUAAUAAGUUAUUGAGUUAUCACUUAAUAUGAUAUACACUUAAAUAUAUCAGAUUUAGUAUUUAGCAUUUCAGUAAUUUAAUGGAUUCAGAUAUUAGUUUUCAAAUUUUAGUUUUAUUAAACACGCCCUUAGGAAGCGUUUAUGUAAAUAUUAACUUUCCCUUUAUUAAAAGGGAAGGUAAUUGUGUAAUUCACAAGUUGGCAAAAUUUAGCUUCAACGUGCUUAGUGAAACUUUGUGGAAGGCGUCCUUCCGCCCUUUGAUUAGUUGGAUUAGCCAAAGAUGACAUAGGAGCUGUUGCUCCAAUUAUGUAACUACUUUUUGCAAUGGCAAUACAUUUCAGUUAUCAUUUGCAAAAAAGAAGAAAAAAGAAAAAUUUAAUCUUUCAGCUCUAAUUUGAGAAAGAAAUAAAGUUUUAUAGGAUUUUACUCAUUAAAACAAUUAUCGAUUAAUGGAACGCUGGACUUUGAAGCUCGAUGCUUAUACAGAAUGAACAAUCAUGGUUAAAAAAUUCACAUAUGUUUGAUAGGUUCUAGGGCAAUUUGAGUUCAUUAACUAAAAGAGCCAUGCAAACUCGAGCUCCAGGUCGCACCACCACCAGAAACCAGACAAGUAAUAGAAGGAAGAACCAGUAGAGACUAAAAAACUCAUACGUGCAAGCAUCAAAUUCAUUUCAGUUCUCCACACACAUAAUACAAUCGUCGUAUGAUUCGGCUCAUCACAGCAUAGGUUUUGUAGAUUGACCUUCCAAUCAUUGUUAAUUUCACGCCAGAUCGAUAUGAUGACUAGAUGAUCCCUUUAUUUGAGAUGGUAAAUCUCAAUAUCUUUGGUCAAAUUUAUGCAAUUGUCCAUCAAUGUAUUUGGAUCUGGGAUGUUCUCAAUUAAUUUCUCGUACUCGAAAGUCCAAGUCACUAACUUCUUAUAUAACCAUAGGUAUCAACAUGAACAGUUGCGAUGAAGGUCUUACUAUAUAACUCCAUCACAUCUCCUUCAAUUACCUUAAAACUAUGCCAACUACUUUUCCUCAUCUAGCUCCACAAUUAUCUCUCCUUUGCAUAUCUCUGUUUUCCAUCUGUAAAACAAACAACAAUUCGGUAAAUGAAUCGAAAGAGUAUAGAGUCACAUAUAAAUCAAUUAGCAUAGAGAGCAAGACCCCGGGUUGCGUGUUUGCGUGUUUGUGUGUGUGUUUUUUUUUAACAUAUGAUUACAAGUAACCAUAAUAUAACCACUAGAGUCAGCUCAGAGAUUAAUGAAGAAGAGCUCUUAGAGUUUUCACUGCUGUCAGGUUCAAAUCCAUAAAUAUUGGGAUAAAAACAAGCAUCUGACAACAUAAUUUGUCUCUUGGAUGGGUAGAAUAACUACAUAUUUCUAACUGUACUAAUCCUUGCCUUAGCUACAGUCGCGAAGCCACACUAUGCUGAGGGGGGAUAAUUUUCCCCCUCAACUUUACAAAAUUUAAAAAAUAGUUUUGAAACUAUUAAAAAUAUUUAUAUUUUUAUCAUAAUAGCACCUCCUCAAUUGUGAAAGGUACACGUUUUCCUCUACAUUGUCUCCCUAUAUUAUGAGAAAUUUUCAUUCUCCUCACAUUAUCUUCCUUAAACAACCAAUUUUUAAGACAUACUUCCUAUAAUACAGAUGUUUUAAAGCUAUUAAAACACAAAAUUGUUAAGGACUUGAAUAAGAAAUAAAUUGAAUAAUUUCACAACACAAAAAAGUCACAAUAAAAAUAUUAUCUUUAAUUAAAUUUCUCUUUACAUAAUAAUGACAUUAUCUUAGGUGUAUAAUAUUACCCCCACUGGCUAUAGGUCCUAGCUCCGCCAAAAAUUGACCAUAUCUUUUAAAGGAGAUAACAACAUGCCUAGUCAUUUCCUCACUUCUGAUACUAAAAAAAAGAUAAAAUACAGUAAAUUUUGGAAGAAAAUACCAAUGGAAAUAAUGACGAAAUUAAAUCCAAAUUUUUACCGUGGGUAUACUUCCACACUUGCAUGGCUCCUACACUUCCCCAAUCACCAUCAUGCAAUUCAACACCUUGAACAAGUGAAGGGCUCAUAUCGGAUAUAUGAUGUGGUUUGUCUCUAAAUUAAGAUCUCAUGAAACACAUCUCCAUUCAACUUUAUCUCGGUUUGAGAAACCAGCUUACCAGUUAAACUCAUCUCUUCUUAGUUCUGUUAAUUAACCAAGAAAGGCAGAUCAAAGCAAAUACUAUCAUUGAAAAGACUACAGGGAUAUAUAGAGUCAAUUGUCAGGGAUACCAUUAAAAAAAAAAACCAAAGAAAGAAACGUGAUUGUGCAGAAAUACAAGUUGGGCACUUUUAAAAGGUCACAAUUUCGAAAUUUGCACGCAAAAAGAAUUUUAACUUUAUCAAGGUUGGUGAUGCAUCCCUCUCGAUUUUAGGAGGUCCAGGAUUGAAGACUUUUCAAAACAUGGAAACUAUAAUAUCUAAAACCUUAAUUUAAAGAUAAACCAUUGAUGAUGAUUGGUAUUAUCAGGAAGACAAGGGACAUAUUCAAGAAGAUGUACAAUCACACACAAUUUUAGCUGCAAGAUGUAGCCGACCUCUAAUGUAUCUGUACAUCUUGCUAGUUAGCGUAAUGAACAUUGUCAGAGAUUCAAAAUCGUGUUGGCUGAGCAAAUGUUAGCACAAAAUUGAAACAUUAUUUUACGUAGCGCUAUUAAUAGAUCUUUUAUCGGCAUUGAGCUAUUACGCAGUUUGAGUUACGUAGAGCUAUUUGUAAAUUUAUUUUGUGCGGAUUUGAAUAAACUGAAAAGAAUAAAAACGACAUCUUUUAAUGCACUACCAAUUAUUUCUGGAAAGCCAGCUCGUAGUAUAAUGCGGUCACCCAGACUCUAUGCACUAUUAAUCUGACAUAUUUACAUUUUUUUUUGGUUCAUAUACUACAUGGCAUAGUUAUAUUAUUGAGCUUGAAAUCAAAUGUUCAUAAAAAUUGGUCUCCCUAAUUUAAUUUUAUCAGCCCACCCUCCAAUUGAAUGCCACGGCCAAAGAAAUUGUAACUAUACUCUAUUAAUAUGAGUGAAUACCAUCAAACAAAUGUCCUACAUGAAUGCAUUAUUAUCAUUGAAUCUGAUAUUUCAAAUGCAAAAAAAAAAAAAAAUCACAUUUUGUACAAACACUUAAUUAUAACUGAAUGUGAUAUUUUGAAAUUGACAUUCAAUACAAACUUUUGUCUUAUAUUGAAUUUGAAUUUUUUAACAUGCAAUUAAUACAAAAUUUCAAAUUUAACUGAAUUCAAUUUCUCGUAAAUCAUAUUUAGUAUAAAAUCCUAAUUUUAACUCAAAGUGACAUUCGGUAUAAGCUCUUAAUUUUAUUUGAAUUUGAUUUUUCGAAAGUCACUUUCAAAACAAACUAUUAAUUUUAAGUAAAUGAGAUUUCCUUGUAGUCACAUGCUGUACAAACUCAUAAUCUUAGCUGAAUUUGAUUGUUAAUUUGUCGAAACUUGAAGUAACGCAUUUGAUAUAUGUAACAUAUUUGUGCAUUUGGUAUUUGAUCAAUGUUUCAAAGCAGACUUGAGUAACAUAUAUAUUUGGAGACGUACUGAUUUAUAAGUCAAUAUUCCUAGCUAGUCAAUCCAUUUUCAGGAUCUUAAUCUUUUUUUUUUUUUUUUUUUUUUUUUUGUGUUUGCUGAUUCUGUUUAGUUCAGCUAAUCUUACUCGAAAGCCAAGGCACAUUGAAGAAAGAAAGAAAGAAAAUUAUACACAAAUAUUACAGCACAAAAACAUUUUAGGCAUCAAGCCAUCAUUUUAUUUAUAAAUAUUCAUUGUAAUUAGUAUAUCAAACACACAAUCACAGCCACAACAAAUUUAAUAAAGCUCUCUCACCAAGCUUAUAACAUGACAUACAUAACCUUAACAAGCUUUUAUUUCAUACUCACACCAUUCUAUCUCUUAUUAUUAUUCAACUAGCGAAAUAACUAUGCAUGUUCAUGCCUUGACAAGUGAAGCAUCCACGUCUUUUCCAGCAUGAAUCAGCCAGUGGAGGUACUUAGUUGGAGCAGGCUCAUUCUCAUUGAUAUUCUCAUACUCAAUUGUCCAUUUGGCAUAGUUGGACUGACUUUUUGGAAUAACUUGUAAGGUAGCCUUGUAGCUCUUUAAUUGUUCCAAAAUAUGUCCUCCAACUGCUUCUGCAGUGACAGUCUUGUUCUCUUCAUCCACCGUAAGCCUUUCUUUCAGAGUCUCAACUUUUCCAUCUGGGCAGUAAAAUAUUUAUCAAAUUAUGCCAUUAUUAUAGGGAUAUUCUACCAAAUUGGUGGCAGAAAAACAUUAAGUUAUGAUGCAUAUCAUCUUGAAAUUCCCAGGAAAAUCACCAUAAUAUCAAACUGUUCUACACUAACUUUUAAAAAAAAAAUAAUUCAUGCAACUCAAAUUAGUAACUAUCAAUCUUACAAAGUAGAGAGUUGGUUUUUGCUACCUAUUGCAUAAGUCCAGAGCUUGACAGAGCCCUUAGUUUUCCAGUCACCUUGAUGAACUUUAACACCAUGAACUUUGUCGGAGCAAAGAUUUGGAAGUUUGUGCGCUUUACCACCAAAGCUGUGGAAGAACUCAUCAGGAUCAGACUUAAUCUUUAUCUCAGCUUCUAACUUUCCAGCUAGAAUUGGACUAGCCAUAAUUGGUUGUAGUAAUGCUGAAAAAUCGCUAUGCACCUUUUCCUAGUAAAUGUUCUACCAACUAAACUGGCUGCACCAUGAUUUAUAGAAUCAAAUUUUCAUUUCACAGUAGCUUUUAGAUUAUUACGUAGAUUAAGUCAACAUUUUGUGCAAAACUGUUUAGCAUAGAUGGUUAAUUGAGUGAAUGCAAAACUUUUUUAUGACAAAGUAUGUUCUAUUUGCAGUAACAAACUUGAUAGUUUUAUUAGAGAGGUAAAAAAUGUCAUAGCAUUUAUUCACGUGGUAAGUAGACAAAAAAAAGAUUUUUUUUCCAAACUUUAUAAUGUUUUUGGGAUGAUUGGAAAGGGAAAUCAGAGUAUGUUGACAAAUUGUUUUUUUUUUUUUCCUUUUUUUAUAGGUACUCACGCGUAUUGUUACAAGAAUGGAAAUGAAAAAAAUUUAUUUUGGCCCUUCAAAUCAAGAAAUUGUACAUUUGUCCGCUUCAUGAAUGGUGAAGCACAUCAGAAAGUCAUGUUUUUUUGUUUAUUCAUUUUUCUUUCUUUGUUCGAUACUCAACAACACGAUGGAUACGCUCAGCAAAAGUCGCAAACGCCAAAAUCUUGAUGAAAGCAGCUCUUCAGCCAUCAUCAUGUUGAAAAUACUGCAAAACAGUAGUGAAGGGCAUUGCAUUCAUGUAUCAAUAAGGCUACUUCUAAGACAAGAGAAAAGGAUUUGAAUAUUUUCUUUUUAGCUGCACCAAUCUAAUUGUUUGCUAAUUUUGGGCAAUUGACUAGUAUGAUCAUCUCAUACAUUAUCUGUAUUUGAUAAUUGAUAUAGGUAAUUACCUGCCAAUGAAUAAAACCAAUUACACGGUUUAAAAAGGGAACCUAAUUGGUACAAAUUGAGAUAGUUACGUUGACAACUACAUUGUGGCAUUGGAGAGAGGGUUGAAUUAGAUGAUAAGUUAAGAGAGAUUGUAAGUAAGAGGUUUAGGGUUAAAGACCUCCCACUUACAAGCCAAAAAAAAGACAACUUCAAGGUGGCAUAAAGUGACUAAAUUGAAUGUUCAAUUUAAAAAGUGAGAACUAAUGCCAUAAUACAGAGUAACAACUUCAAAGUGGUGGUUGCUAAUAAUUGUCAUCAUAUAUAUGCAAUAUUUAUUGAAAACCUAGGACCAAUUGCCAUAUACAGGGAUAAAGAUCUUACUAAUCAGUUGAUCCAUCUGAUUCGAUUACAUUCUUUUUCUUUUUCUUUUGCUUUUCAGAGAAUUGGAAUUUUAUUGCUGUAAAUCUUUUUACUGCAGCAGAAAUCUAUAUGCUCCACUACAAGCAUAUAUAUUAACCCUUGAACUAGCCAGUCCAGGUUUUUUUGUUGGACUAGGCUCAUUCUGGUUCAGUUUUUCAUAGUCAAUGGUACAUUUGGCAAAGCUGGAGUCACCUCUGGAGAUAACUUGUAACGUUGCUUUAUAGUUCUUGUAGUGCUUCAUACAAUCUCCAUCUAUUGCCUCAGCAGCAUUGGUCUUGUUCUCCUCGUCAAUUUUGAGCCUCUCUUUGUAUACCUCAACUUUCCCAUCUAUAUUUGCAUCACAAAGAAAUUCAUUAGUGGCUUUUCUUAACAUUGAAUAAUGUUUUACUCUUAAUUUGUUGUUUCCUAUAUUAUCUAGCUAUUAGGCUCAAUUUGCCACAUUUUGGGAAAAACGAAUUUAACAAGAAAAUGUAAUGGAGAAAAGUAUCAAUUAUUAAAAACUAUUGAUGCUUCGUUACGCCAAACUAAACUACAAUAUAGACUCCUUAUCCUUGAUGUCUUUCUCAUUUCGUUAGGAAAAUUAGAUAAUUGACUGAGUAUGCUAACUACUUCACAAGCUAGAUCGCAUAAAAAAAAUAAAAAUUCAUAAAACUUAAAGGAGUAAAUGAACAUUAAGAUACAGUAAAGUGAUGGUUUUACCUAAGUACAACAAAUAAGAAGUAGGCGUGGCAUUAUUUUUUGUGCAAAAGGGUAAAAACUUUUAUAAUGAAAGUGUUACAAUUCAAGAGAUGAGUGGUAGUAUUGAAAGAAAGAGUGUAAGUGAGAGAUUCCGAAUUCGAAACCUCGCACUUACACUAAAAAAAUGAUAGUAAUUUUAAAAGUUUAGUAGAAGGUCCUCUUCUUCUUCUUCUUCUUUUCUUUGUGCUUAUCUGUUGCCUUUAUAAAACUCAAUAGAAAAAUCUUAUUAUUCUACCGUCUUCACAUAAGAAGCAAUAAUAUAGAGUCAAUUUCUUUGCAACCAGUGAAAGGAUAAGGAGAUAAAGUCAAUUGAGGAGGCUAAUUACGAUAAUAUGUUAAGCUCAAUAAAAAUGCCAUGAAACAUAUGAUAAGAGUUGUUGUCAAGAAAUUAUACAAAAAGAUACCGAGGGAAGCCCAAAGCCCGUGAAAGGAAUAUAAAAAAUAAAAGAUUGUGAAUAUAUCAAAUAAAAUUGCGGUCCAUGGGCACGAAAUAAGUUGAGUACAAAUUUUGGUAUGAUCGAUUCAUAAAUUUCUGCUGAAAGAUUGUCUCCUGAAUUAUUUGUGGACAUCGAUUGUGAUGGCUCGGAAAACUUAGUUUCCUCUAAUUCAACAAAUUAGUUAUAUGUUGAUUUAUUUGAUCGAUUCAUAUAUAGCUUGCUUUAUCAGUUACCUUUGAUUCAAAAGUCAGUCCACUGUUUGCAGUACUUACUUAUAAGAAUGUGGUUUAAUAAUUUUGCAGAGUAAAAUUUAGAGAGGUUUUGAGGGCUUAGUUGACGAAAAUUUAACAAAUAUAUGGAAGGCCAAGCUAAGAAUCAGGGCCUGACAGAUAUUAUUACACUAUGAGGUCUCAUUUCGAUUUACUCUACCAUUUAUUUAUUUUUUGAAUAAUUGAAAUGGAAUUCAUAUAUAUUCAUUCUUAAGAAAUUGUUCUAAUAUUGCCCCUUUCCUACCUAGUACUGUAUUAUUUUUUCUUGACAAGGCGCACAAAUAAAUAAGACAUUUUAUUUUAGUUGUCAUUGAUAGGUUGCAAUUUUAUCAUUUAUUUUAUUAUUAAUUUUCCCUAUUACCUGACUUGAUGUGAAUUAAUUAUUAGAUUCUACUCACUUUUCGUAAUUUACAUUUAUUUCAGAGAGUAGAACAAAAAUAUCACAAUCAAGGCCAAUUUGACAGUCAUCGGGAAAGAAUUCAAAUAGCAGGCAAUUAAAGGCAUUCUUGGAACAAGGAGAUGCAAGACCUUUUUGGUAAUUUUGAGCCAAGACAGCAACUAAAAAAGGGAAAAGAAAGCAAACCUGGGGAAGCGUCCAGAGGCUUCGUCCUCUCCGCAAGGGGGAGCCGCCGCACAAGGCAGGAGCAAUAGAGAGGAACUAGAAUUGGAAAUGGCAGGAGGGGAGCACUACUCUGGAGCUUUAGCGUUGACUUUUCCUUCCUUUGCUUCUUAGUAGUUUUUGUCUUCUCUCGGAUGUCAGGAACAAUUGAAGCAUUGAAUCAUUUCCUUGUAGCUUUUUCGUUUGAUUUUUCCUUGUGACCUGUAGUGGAUUCCUCCUGCCACAUGAUGGCCGCAGCUCUUGUUUCAAUUUUGUAUGGGUUUUGUUCAUCAAAUAUAAACUAAUUUUCUCAUUCUAGUCAAGGGACAACGGAUGCUCUGAUUCGACUAAAAUUGUGAGAUCGCUUUAAUUUUAUCCUUUUCUUUAUUUAUUGGUAUUCGCAUAUUUCCUGAUUAUAGUACUUAAGAUUGUUUAAUUAAUUGAUUGUCUUGGAUCCGGAUAAUUAGUUAAUUUGAUAAUCUAUUGUCAAUUGGGACGUUAAAUCCGUAAUUGUUUAAUUGUCUCAAAAUAGUGAUAACUGGCAUGAUUGGGUUUGUGUUAGGGGGAUGUGCGGGCCAAUCUGAAAUAACCCUGGUAGUGCGUUAUUUGGUUAGAAUAGGGCUCCUCUAAUUCGUAAGGCAAUUGAGGAAUUAAAUCUUACGGGCGUACCUAAGAUUAUUUUUUAAUUAGAGUAGUGAUUAACGGACGUACCUUAAUCACCGAUACAGUAAGGAGGGGUUAACUGUCAUCGCUUGUUUGGCAGUUAUAACCUAUUUAUUAGUAAAUAAUUGGAAUUGCCUUUGUUUCAAUGAUCAAUUAGGUGAACCAUUGCUGAAGUUAUUUCUUGGCUAGAUCCUUAAUUAUCACUCAUUUGAUUUUAGUAAUUUGUUAUUUAAUUUUUAGUAGUUUCUUAGAUUUUAUUUGAAUUUCUUUGAGUGUCACCUUCUGCACAAAAACAUUCCCCUUUGUCACUGUGAAUUUGAAAAGAAACAAUUACUCCCAGUCCCUGUGGAUUCGACCCUACUCACCGCUAUCUACAGAAAUUACUUUUAGUUUGAGCAGGUUUUAUUAUUGCACAGGUUUCGACACCCUGUCAGUCAUGAAUUAGGAAAAGAGCUUUUUUCCUGAAAUUCAUUUUUUAAUGUUUCUUGAUUUUUGUCUCCUACCAAGAAAAAAAAAAAAAAAAGUAUCUGUCCUUUUGGUUUCUCAUAUUUUUGCAACUUUUGCAGGUAUGUAUCAACAAAUUGUCAUUGGGAUAUAUGUGUGUGUUUGUGUGCGCGUGCACGCAUGUGUAAAUGUAUGUAUGUACAUAUAUGUGCAUAUGUGUAUGUAUGUACAUACAUACAUAUAUACAUACAUAUAUAUGUAUAUAUAUGUGUGUAUGUAUAUAUAUGUAUACAUAUAUACACCACACCACACACCACACCACACACAUGCAUAUAUAUAUAUAUAUAUAUGUGUGUGUGUGUUUAUGUAUAUAUAUGUAUGUAUGUAUGUAUGUACAUACGUACGUUCAUCAAGGAUUUUCAGCCAACUCAUUGCUUUGUGUACUAGCCACAAAGGUAUUCCUAACAACUACCAUUUAAUUGUUGGAUACAUUAAUUAAUCUAAAGGACAAACCUGCAAGGCUGUUGGAUCUCAUUAAUUAAAUAAGAGCCCAGUGUACAUCUUGGUCAUCAUGACCAGUUAAUGGCAAUAAGGUUGUACUCUCUAUCUUGCCGAAGAGUGGCCAAAUCGAAGAGGCGCCUUAAUGUUUAUCACUACAAACUUACAAAAAUUAUUUUGGUUUCUACAGGUAAAUUCUGCAAGCAAUUGAAAAGCAAAAAGUUCAACCGGCAGAAAAUUGUGUGGAUUAUUAAAUCUUAAUGCACAAUAACUUUUGCGACAAUCUUAAGCCUAAUUAAUAACUCGUAAUCCACCAUAAGCCGUGAUGAUUGCUGCGCCCAAUGCGAUAGGGAAAAAAUAAAAAAAAAGAAACUCGUUUUCCAGUCACCUUCGUGCACUUCAAUCCUGUUAACUUUCUCAUUCACAAGAUCUGGGAGUUGGUGUGCUUCAGCGCCAAAGCUAGGAAGAACUCAUCAGCAUCAGACAUCAGCCUGAAUUCAGCCUCCAACUUACCUACUAAUUUACUAGUCAUAGUAGAGAGUUCCUACUAAUUGAUCAAACCGAAAAAAAAAAAAAGAAGAAGAAAAGCCCUACUAAUAACCUUGAACAAUACUAUGUUUUAUGCAACUCAGCCACUUGACUACCUGAUCUAUAGAUGCUUCAUUAAUUGGUUGGCUCCCACAAGUUACAAAUGUGUGGUUCUCUUUUCUUUUAGCUGCAAAAUAUGCGUGUAAUCGUGAAGAUGAACGCAUGUUGCAAUAUCUUCUCAUGCAAAUGAUAUACUGCUGCGUUUAGCCAAUACUGUCACACUUGAUUAUUAGUUAAAUUGGUAAAUGCUCCACUUCUGUCUCCAACGGGGAAUUCAAUGGGAAAUAAUGAUGUGGGGUAUACUUCUUUUUUUAGGGGCGCCGGGUUAUACAUUUUUAUCUAAUCCUUAUCCAUAGAAAGCAGAAAUCAAAAUUGCUCUACAUUUCAAUUGAAGUCCAUGAUAAUUUUUUGGACAAGUUUGAUUUGUUUUGUACAGUUAUAUGUUUAGGACAACAUGCCAAGAAUCGACCAAAAGUAGACUCACAAAACACUAGCGUACGUAGCUUAAAGGACAAUUUCGAUUUUGCAUAGGUAAUGUUUUGAUAGAUUUUCAGCUUGCACUUUAAACUUCUAUUUUAAAGUCUUUUAGUUUUAUGAAUACACUUUUUUUUCUGUAAUCUAUCUGUAAUCAAAAUAUAUAAUGGGCUUUGAGUAUUCCUAAGAAGAAGCGCAAUUCACUUUUGCAAAAGAAGUAAAAUUAAGAAGUGAAAUUGUUAUUUAAAUUUAUAUAUUUGUUGUGCAGGUGCGUACAUUUAUUGUUCCUAUGCAUACAUUGUAGAGUUCAAUUGUAACUAACAUUGUGGAGAUACUACACGCCAAUGUUGUACUUUCUGCUGGUUUAGUUCACCUCUUUGGGGACAUUUAGCAAGAAGUCAAGAUAUGAUAAAUAAGUGUGUGUGAUACAGCAAAAUUUUAUUAAAUUACAUGACGAAAUUGUGAUCUAACUGAAGUUUUGCUCAUGUUCCUUCGUUAGAAAAUCAAUUAACGUGUUUGUUAUCACAAGAUUACUUAUGCAAUUUAGAGAUCCUCUUUUGAUUAAGAAACCAAAAGAGAUAUUUAAAGAGAGGAAACUAGAGAGAUCCUUGAAGUUUGAAGGUUCAUUAUGGUGAACCGAUGCACUUAGCAUUUAUGUCUUCUUCAAGCCAAAACACUGAGAUAGAUAUAAAGCCACACCAAACAUUUAUUGAUCUUUGCCUUCAAAAUUCGUCGAAAUUCACUAAUUAGAUUGAUCUUUUCUACACAGCAUAUAAUUGUAAUUACACAUGCAAUUCGAAAUUCAAGUUACUUGUAUUAAAAGAAUUUUGCUAGUUCAUCUAUGAUGAUACGUAAAUCAAAGAGUGCAUGGGUUAGAAAAGUUAUGGCAUGGUAUCAGUGAAUGUCGCUCGUUUUGUGGAGUUCUAAACCUUGAGGUGGUUCGGAAUUUUAUUGCAGCCAACUUUGAUCCUAAUGGGGGGGGGGGGGGGGGGGGACGGGGAUAAAAUCAGGCUUUUCCAAUAGAACUGGCUCACAGAUUAAAAGGGUGUGAUCCCUUUUCCCUCUUGCAUGUUGCAAUUUGAUUAACUUCCAGUGCGUUUAGGAAAACAUUAGUAUAAAGGAGUGAAAGAGUGCCUGAAAUUUGCAAUGGCGAAAGUGUAUGGACAUUAUUUGUGCAGACAUUUGAGAGAGAAUGCUGAGCUGAUAAUCCUUGAUGGAGCAGGGCAUUCAUGGGGUUAUGAAAAAAUCUAAGGAGUUAUAUAAGCACCUAAAAACCUUUCUCAUAGGCUGAAUCAACCAACCGACUUUAGGCACUUCAAUCCUUCCUCUUCAACUCACAGAAGAAAAUUUGUCGUUCAACUCAAUUUUCGAGGCUAAAAAUGUAGAGGAAAGCCUCUAAUCAAUUGAAUUUAUAGGUACACUUUGUUUCCCAGAAUAAAUAACUGACAAUGAUGGUUAAUAAUUCUUUCAACAAUGUUCCAUUCAUGAUGUAUCUUUACUCAAGCUAUUGUAGAUCAUACAAAUUCCACUUGUGGAAGGAAGACGGGAAAAUUAAACCAUGUUCAUGGCUGGCCACUAAAUCCUUUGUUAAUGACUUCUAAUCAACUACUACUAUUUCAAAGAUACCAUAAGACCACUAAAAAUUCAGCUAAACACAUACCAUUCUGGGUAAACGAUGUCAUGGCCCUCAAAUGACCUAAUCAGCCUAACUUCAAGGGUGCCUAUUAUGAAAAGGACCAUAUGCCCAAAUUGUUUCACAUCCUAAAUUAUCUAAGUAAAAGUAUAUUGAGACAAGAAAAAAAGAAAAAAAAAAGAAUAGAUAAACUAUGCUCCCUUUCUUUUCAAAAUAUUCAAUCGGUAAGCACUAAUCAAACUGAAUAGUCUCAAAAGCAUAACUCAAUCAUAUAAUGAUCACAGAGAAUAGCGAAAAAAGAAAGGGAGAAGAAGCGGUGGUCUAGUACUCUGGUCGCAGACUCAAAUUUUGGUUUUUGGAGAAGGGUCGGUAGUAGUGGUUUUCGACAGAGAAUGAUAGAGACUGAAGUUUGAGAGUCUGAGAGUGUGGACUUAGGGUUUAGUUCUUUUAGGAAUUUUAUUUUUAAAAUUUUUAACGGGAUCAAAUUGACUGCAAUGCCCAAGAAACUAGCUGUACUACAAAAGUUAAGGGUAGAAAUUUCUCAAUAAGUUCUGAACACUUAUGUGUUUUAAGUCAUAUAAAUUUAAUUAUUUAAUAUUUACACCAGCGCUCGAUAGCACACUAUAUUCCUACUUGCACUCGACUCAUUAAAACAAUCGAACAUGUUUGAAAUUGAUUCAAACAUGAUCAAAGUCAAAACAAGACGAUCCAUUGAUCAAGCAGCUCCAUAUGUGCACCCGAGUUGCUUGAUUCGCAUACAUUCCUAUCGCAAAAUCAUAGUAAUUGAACCUUCAACAUCGAGUAUAGGAUUGGCCUUUGUUAUUCACCUAAUGCUUAAGUACAUAGCCUGACAGAGCCGGCAUUCUUCCAAUCACCUUGAUGAACAUCAAUGCCAUGGACUUUCUCGGAACCCAGAUUUGGAAGUUGGUGUGCUUUACAACCAAAGCUAUUGAAGAACUCAUCAGGAUCAGACUUGGAUCUUUAUCUCAGCCUCCAACUUUUCUGCUGUAUUAGCCAUAGUUUUUUCUAGCUCUACUAGUAAAAAAGCUACUGAUUUUCAGCUCACCUUCACCUAGUAGAAUGCAAAUGCUAACGUAUAUGUACCUUAACCAUCGGACCACCGCUUAUAUAGGAUCAGUUCCAUUUUUCCGUACAUUUGUGAUGGUUUGUACUAAUAUCUUUGCUUUUUAUCAAUUGUGUUUUAGGUUUAUGUAGUUAUACCGCUCAUACCUAUGCUUAAAUUUCAAUAUACUAAUUGGGCUUAAGUAGCAAAGUUUUGAAAUUUAAUUUAAAAAGAAAAAAAAAAAAAAAAAGAAAACCUGGCUACAUUAUUUUUGGAUUAGGUCAGGAAAUUUGCCUUGCUAUUCUUCUUCAUCAUAGUCAAGACAAAAUUUCUGUUGUUAGACUAUUACCAAGAUUAGGUUAAUUAUCUAUGUCCUUUGAUGUGAGGCAACAUGUCCCAGAUUAAAAUUAAGGGGCAGAUAAAAUGUCAUAUUAAUCCAAGAAAACCCAACUGCAACCAGAACUAGAUUUCAUGCCAUCACCUAAGACGAGUGGGUUAGAAAGAUUUGUUUGCUUGAUAUGUGAUAAUACAGGCUUCGUUAAUAAGUUAUUAAUGCGAAUAUGCAAAACAAAUGGUUACAUUAUAGAUUCCUGUGCUUUGUGUUAAAGCUUUUUUUUUUUUUUUGGCAACAAAUUUUUGGACUGCACGGAUCAUUCCUUGCUGCUUUUAGAUUUCAAAACAGAAGCUACAAAGUACAGAACAUUUUCAGUUUUAGAAAUGCACCUCGGUUUUUCAAAAGGUGCAUUGACUACUGUAAAGAAUAGUUUCAGCUCCAUGAGAUCGAUGCCAGUAAGAUAGUUAAAUCAGCAGUGAUAAAUGUUAUGCAAUGAACCACUGUUAUAUAUAGGAAGCAUGCUGCGAUAAUGAUACCCCAUGAGGAAAAACAGAAACCCUAAUAAUCAUAGCGAUGAUAGUAACACUAAACCUAGAGUUAUGAACUAGUUCUUCGAGUUAAUUAAGAAUUUCUUGGUCACAUCUUUGUAGUCAAGUCAUCCAAACAAAAUUGUAUUCCCUCGUUUAUCCCAAUUGUACCAAGAGACCAUUAUUUGGCGAAAAAGACAACAGAGAAAACAUGUCAGACAUAAUCAUAUAAUCAGUGCUCCCAUAGCCAAAAUGCGCAGGAUUAGAUGUAGUUGGGUAUUAAUGGAGCAAAUUUCUUGACGUCUUCACUUGAGGAGAAGACGACAAACUGAAUUUAACUCAAAAAAUAAUAAUAAAAUUGCGUUUAAAGGAGCUGCAAUGAAUUUAGUUAGGAAUAUGGAAUUAACCUAUCUGGAGAAAGAUGGACAACAUUAAGCAAACAACAUGCGUUUGAAAAAGACUAGCAUUGAUGAAAGGGUUAAAUGCAAAAUACCCCCCACAAACUAUAUACCUAGUUGCAGUUUACCCCCUAAACUAUAAUAAUAGACAUUUUGCCUCCUUGAAUGAUAUGUUUGGACAAAUCUACCCCUUUUAUUUUAAGCAUUGUUAUUUUUCUUUUUUCCCUAUCAUUUUCUUUUUAAAUUCUUCCUUUUUUUUCUUUAAACAUUGUUUAAAUAAGUAGACUAGAUUAGUCAAAAUUUGUUUAUUUCUUAAUUUCAUAUGUCAAUAUUUUAUAAAAAAAAAAUCUAUGGAAUACAAGAUUUUUUUUCCAAAUGUUGAAGUCAAUGUCAUUUAUGAAAUUGAACUUUUCAAAUAUAUAAUAACAAAAUAGAGAAAUUGAUUAAUCAAUUAUUAGUAGUAUCAAUAACCAAAAAAAUGAACUACUAUUGUUGUUUAUUCUUAUUUUUUAUUUCACUACAAAUAACAAUUGCUAACUUUUCUUUUUUAUGUGAUAUAUAAUAUGUUACUUUUAUUAUAAGUAGUUGAGUAACUGUGAACUCUUAAUUAGUUUAUUGGCACUUAAAUUGUUGAAUUACUAGAUUAAUACACUUUACAAUAUAAGCUACAUAUAUUUUGUAAUAACAAAGAGUUUAUGACAAAUUAUUAAGAAUGAAUUUAACAAAUAAACAAAUUAAAAAAGCAGUUUAAAAAAUAUUAAAAUUUUUUAUGUAAGUCUUUUCACAUCGGAGAGAGGCAUUGGCUAGUUUCACGAAAGAAGGAGAAACAAAAAAAAAAUGAAAAAAUGAAAAAAGCUAAUAGAGAAAAAAAGAAAGAAAGGAUUUAAGAUAGUAGGGGUAAUAUUGUCCAAACAUAUCAUUUAAGGGGGAAAAAUGACUAUUAUUAUAAUUUAUGGGGUAAACUGCAACUGGGUAUAUAGUUUAUGGGGAGUUUUUUGCAUUUAACCCUUGAUGAAAAGACUAAUAAAGUCAACAGUAUGCCCACACAAAAUUCAAUUUCCAAGUCACCAUUCCAACCACUUCUUUGACUAAUCCUAAACUUGGAGGUUGAGCUCCAUAAAAAAGUUUAUUCAAAGGCAAAACGAUUUGGGAAUUGCAAUGGGAAGCAAGUCGUUAAAUGAAGUAAUCAAACAUCACUUAGUAAAGGCUUACUAAACUAGUUAAUAAAGAUGUUGUUGGGCUGCUGUAUUCACCAUGAAUUGAUUUAAAGAUGAAAGUUCAGGAUCUUUAACAUGGAAUAUGGUGAUUUUUCUCCAAUUCUUCCUGGCUUUCUCUUUCUCUUUUAUUCAGGUCUCCCCGGCAGGAAAACAGAUACACAUAUAUAUAUACACACACAAAAAGAGAGAGAAAACAUACGAGAUCCUUACAAAAUUUGAAGGUUCAUUAUCGUGAACCAGUGCACUAAGCAUUUAUAUCUUCAUCAAGCCAAAAAAAAAAAAAGAAAGUUAAGAUAGAUAUAAAGCCACACGAAACAUUCAUUUUGUUUUUCAUCAUUACACGUAGAAUCGUUAACACAUACAAAUUACAACCAAGCACUAACAGCAGUAGAAUUGCUAACACUUAUACAAAUUACAACCAAUCACUAGCAGGAGUAGAAUUGCUAACACUUAUACAAACACUUGUACAAAUUACAACCAAUCACUAGCAGGAGUAGAAUUGCUAACACUUAUACAAAUUACAACCAAGCACUAACAGGAGUAGAAUUGCUAACACUUAUACAAAUUACAACCAAUCACUAGCAGGAGUAGAAUUGCUAACACUUAUACAAACACUUAUACAAAUUACAACCAAUCACUAGCAGGAGUAGA
rnacentral:lncRNA from 1 species